rnacentral:lncRNA from 1 species
UUUUUUUUCUGUGAGUUUGUAUAAUAUGUUCGAUGCGUAUGAUUGUUUUAUUCCACGGGUUUGUAUAAUGUGUUUAACGUGUACAGGAUAUGCAACCUUGAUUAAAAAAUACGAAUAAAAAAAGUUCGUCCAAAUAUCUUUAAGUGGGAUCGUGUUGUAAAGUUAGAAAUCCAGUGGUGCAAUUAGAAUUUAAUUUUGAUGCUCGACGCAAGAUUUAUAAUUUUUUUAAAUCUAAAUAGUUUUGCAUGUGGGAUGACAUCAUCAGUCUUAAGGGCACAUCGUCGUAGAGAACUUAUCCCAUGGAGAACCUAAAUUUAUGGAUUGGAUAACGUCUUUGUGUCUUGCUUAAAUGAGACAGAUUUCGGACAUAAGAGGCCGUGCUUCUCUAUGCUUUUCAGGCAUUUUGGACUGGUCCAUGAUUGAUUUUCUAGUUCGAUUUAGGAAAAGUAAAGGUACCAACAAAGCACCCAAGCCGUAUUCUUAAGGCUGUGGUUUUCCCCCUUUAUUCCCUUUCUUAUUAAUUUAUAUUAAGAAUUUACUGAUUGUUGCGAGUUAGAGUUAUGAUUAUGUGACCAUCUAGUUUUAGUUAGAAGGAUUAUUGUCUCGAGUCAAAAUGGAACCAACAAUUAAACUAGGUUUGUAGCAAGCACUGAGCAGUAGCAUGCAUCUAAGAACAUUAAAAAGGAUCAAAACAUGGCCUAAAUUUGGUUAGUUUCUAACUCAAACAUUCCUCCCAAGUCAAGUCUCAGCCUAGUUCUUCUAAAAGCGCAGAAUCAACCAGGAAUCCAUGAUGUUGAACGAGAAGCUGUGUAAGGUCGUGAUAAUUAGCUCUGGACUGAAAGAUACACACCGUCAGGGUCACGUACCAGUACCAAGACGAAGCCCCAUAUUCACAGGUCCAGACAUGACCCAUUGACCCCGGAUUGCGCCCGCGCACUUGAUCGGGCGUGCAAACCGACCGUUGAGAAGACGAUCGAGACUCCGUCAGGUAGAGGCGGGAUGCCAUGCCCUCGCCGGCAGCCAAGCGAGCGGUUGGAACCUGCGCGACGGCUGGAGGUUUAUGGGGCCUCCUAUGCAUCUAUCGGAUGGUGGGUAAGGGAGUUAUCUUUGAAGCCCAACAGAGCCCACUCCAUCUUCUUCCUCCUCCCGUCAGCUUCAUCUACCUCCCGCUGCGCGCCGCUCCCCCGCCUCGCCGGCCACCAGCUUCUCCCUCCUCUCCGGCGCUGCUCCCCCGCCCCGCUCGCCUGCUCAGUCUCCGGCGGCGGCCGCCGCCGGAUUCGCCUCCGCCAUCCCCGCCGCCACUAACCGAGCCAGACGCGGCGCCAUCUCCGCUGCCCCCGCCGUCCUCCACGCCGCCGCGCCGCGCCGCCCCCGCGCCCACCUCCCCUCCGGCGUUGCUCACCCAUCCCGCCGAACCGCCACCGCCGUCGGGCUUGCCGCCGCCGAUGACCUUCUCCUCUAUGUCCGGUGGACAUUGGAUCUCCGGCCGCAGAAACCCGAAAUCCUAAUUGCCGCCGCCUCGACCACCACCCACGGCUGGCGGCAACCUCGCCGCCGAGCCGUCCCGCCCACCUCCCACCCCCGCCAGCAGCUUCCUUAUACAAAUCUUAAAGCGGAAGAUGAAAGGCUUAUCCACCUUCCGGAAGAUGGAUAGGAUUUCCGGAGGUUUAUCGCCUUGUGGUAAAGUGUUGUUGUGGGCUGGACUUCCCAAAAAGAUAACAUAUGAGGUGGCAACUGAAGCAGGCCGAAAUUGUCUAUUAUGGACAAUUAGAGGGGAAGGCCCGUUUGUUGAUCUCUCAAGUAGGACGGCCCAUCAUAUAAGAUACGACCCAGUUUCAUCCUGAGAGAUCAACAAUCUCAUAACGCUGAUGCCGAUGCUCGAACUCUAUUUCGCUAUGAGUGGUCCUCCUCACUAAUCAAGCUGCUGCUACUAUCAUCUCGUACGCCAACCUUUAUGAUCUUCAGUCCUCUGUCCAAUUGUCGAUACAACUGCAUUAGCUGCUCAGGCUAAUUUAAAAUUUCCUGAAAUUUGUGGAACAUGGAACAUGGCAUAAAAAUCUGCAGAAGCAGUCUCAGGCUUUAGCUGAGCUGUUCAAUCUCAGUUCUCAGGCCCUGCGACGUCAGAUCACGCGCUGCACCCGGGCGAUGUCCAGCGCCGCUUUCCCGUCGAGCUUGUUGCUCUGCUGAUGCUCCAUGUAGUCUCUGUACCUGACGCCUCGGAACUCGAGGCCCUGGCCGUCGGGUGCCAGCUCCGGGACAGGCUCGACCACGGUGUCCAGGCACGGCGAGAUCAUGCUCACCAUGGACAUCCUCGCGCGCUCGCCGCCGACCACCGCGCGGUGGAGCACGCCCUUGUAUCUCCCGUUGCUCACGAUCUGCACGCACAGUCGAACACGUAGACGGCAUGACAUAUGCUGGCGUGCUUACAACCGUGACAAGAGAUCGUGAAGCCAAAACUGAGGUUGUUACCUCCAGCUGGUCGCCGGCGAUGACGAAGAACGCGCCGGGGAGGGGCUUGGCGAGGAGCCACUGCCCGUCGUGCUCGACCUGGAGCCCGUCGACGCCGUUCUGGAAGAGCAGGGUUAGCAGGCCGUGGUCGGAGUGCGCGGGCAGCCCCAUGCCCACACUGUCCGGGCCGGUGUACGGCGGGUAGCGGUUCACGGCGAGGAUCUGGAAGCAGGAUUCGAGAUCCAUGGCCUCCGAAAUGCGGCCGCCGCCGAGGCCCAAGCUCUCGGAAAUCGCCUUCACGAGUGACAGCAGCAGGUCUCUCGUCCUCACCGAGUACUCGGCAGCAACGUCCCUGACAAAGCACACGGACACGAUCGUUGCAGCGAUGGAUAUGGUGCCAAAGAUGACAGACACAGCGCAGCAAACUGAUUGGCAAUUGCACCAGUAGUCCAGUACCUUAGUUUUGCUGGCUUUGCAGGGCAGUGGAGCUCAGGGUGCGCGAACAUCUUCAGGUAGUCCCUCCAGUACCUGACGCCGUCGACAACGGAGAAGAAGCCCGUCCCAAUUCGUAUAGGAUCCAUCGGCCCGGCCUCCAAAUGCUCCACCUUCUCCUCUUCCGGUAAACUGAACAGCUCCUUGCAUGUCUCCAUCAUUGCAUCUUUGAGCUCCUCAGGAACCCCAUGGUUGAUCACCUUCAUGUCGUGCCAGAUCGAUGUCGAUACACGCCAUUAACGAUCUUGCACGUACGUAAGCAAGAAGAACAGCGUGCAUCGGCAGUGUUCUCCAAACGUACCAUGAAGAAGCCCCAGUCCUUGCACGCCCGGCCGAGGUCCCGGAUCGCCUGCGCCCGUUGAUCGGCCGCGCCGUUGAUGAGGACGUCGAAAUCGACGACGGGGAUGCCGUCGUCCGCACCGCGUGUUCCCAUGUCCGACGAGGGCAUGGCAGGGUGGUCGUGCCCGCUGUGCUCGCCGUUUGUGCACGGAUCCGUGGAGUGAUGCAGAGAAGUUCCCGCCAUGGCUGUGGAGUGCAGAGAGGCCGGAGAUCUGGAGCAGCGCAGAGCUAUCGAGCCAGGCCACGCGCGACGCGCAGCUAGUGUAGGUGUUUGCCGUGGCGCCCCGGCGUUCAUUGAAGGACACAAUGACAAUCGUAAGCGGUGCGGCGUUGGACGUGACAUGGCAGAAGCCACAUGGUUCAGCAGCUGUUGUGUACGUUUGUGAAGAUAUUUUUCGCGAUGCUGUACACUUGUACUCAGUUGUCAUACAAGAAGGAUUCGUCGUUUUGUGCCUUCAGCUAAAAGCAUAAAACAUGACCGCGCGUAGUGCAUGUGCAAGUCAUUUUGUUUUCUUUAAACUAGCAAAAGGUGGUCCGCGCAAGCAGCGUGGGUACCUAAGUAACUUUUAUGCCAAAAAUUUAAAUAUGUUUCUUCAAAAUAAAUGUAUGCGAACAAUUUCAUUUAGCCAUGUCAUGUGUGCCUUUUUUUCAUCAUCAUAUUUUGUGGCGGCUUUUAAAACAUGAAUUCAGAGGGAAAAGGAAUGUCUUGCAUGGAAAAAUAUUAUUUGGUAUUUACCAAAAUGAAUAUAAAACAUUAUACAUAUUUAACAGGAAUAUAAUUCUUUAUUAUGUCUGUUUUGUCCUAAUAGAAAAAUAUUAUUUUUGGCUGGUGCCACCAUUUUAGCGAAGCUUUCCGGAGGUUAAAUGGUUCACCAGGCAAUAUGCGACUUGGUUGAGAUUUGAGAAUUCAAUCUAGCUAUAUAAAAUGUUCGUGUUUCUAACACCAUUAUUAUUGCUAGGUGAGAUGGGCAAAACUGAAAGCGAAAUUGUAUGACUAUUUGGAAAAGGAUAGAUGAGCUAGCUGUGUCAACAUUAAUUUCUCCCCCGCAUUAAUCCAGACGUUAACUUGUUCACAAGGGGAAAAACGACAUACAUUUAAGUACUUCAUACUUCGAUCUGAUCAUUAUAAGAACUACGUGCUUUGAAAUUAAAAGAACAACAUCUACUAGUUUCAUACCGCGUGUCUCGAGCUGGUAGCGCCUUUGAUCCAAAAAUAAAUGUUGCCUUAUAUUAACGAGGCGACCUGUUUACUUGCAAGUAGCCAAGUGGGAGUGGUUGCUGUUUCAAUGUUUGCAUGGACCGGCUACAAUGAGAUGGCCACAGUAGUGAUCAUUCAGAGACAAAUUUCUAUGGUUAUAGUAAUUUCUUAUAUGCGGUGUAGAGGACAACUGUUGUAGUUACAACUUACAACACUGCUAUAUGUACAAUUAUUUGGGUAUAACUUCGAGUAAUGCAGAUGAUGAUCGAAAUCAAUUGAAUGGAAAUAGGGCUGUAAAUGAGCCGAGCUCGAGCGAGCUUGCUGCGUCAAGUGUGAGCUUAUUAGAAGAUCGAGCAAAACUCGACAUGUACCUUAAGACCUAGGCCUACAGCCAGGCUUAAGCGUGGCUACUUUGUAAUUCGAGCCGAUCUUGAACUAGAGUAUAAGACGAGUUGUUUUAGGUCUUGUGCUUUGUUAAGCAUGAUCUAUAGAGUAACGGGAUCUUGUUGGUUUGCUCUAGGAGGUUUGGGCAAUGCAGUUGGAUAAAAAAAUUUAGAGUAAAAUGCAACGGAGGUCCAACAACUUGUAAGGAGAUGUCACUUAAGUUUACGAACUCCGAAAGUACAUUUUUAAAUCCAUAAACUUGUUAAGUCAUUCACCAUAGGUCCAUACCCCUUCACAUAGGCAUCUUGUGCUGACAUGGCAUGGUAACCGGGCAUCUCCUCUCCCAUCCUUCUCCAUCUUCCGCUAUCUCUCUCUCAGGCAUUUCAUCGAGCAAGUCGUGAGCGCCGCCUUAACCCAUCGUUCGUCAUCCUGCCACCGCUAGUGAGCGUGUCGUGCUGCCAUCGGUGAGCAUGCUCACCAGUUGUUCUUCCCCCAUCAAGCUGCCUCUACUGCCGGCCCACAUCCUUUCUCCCGUUCCUUCUCAAAGGAGCAGAGCAAGAAGCAUGGAAGAUGGCUGCCGCCGCCAUUCACAUCCCUGGCGGCCAUGUCAUGAGUAUGGUGGGCCAACGCCAUGGUGGGGUCAUCAUCGAGGAGGACGGCGCCGACAUUAUAAUCCUUCCGUGGCAGCGGUGGCUCGAUGGGGAAGAAGGUGGUGAGCAUGCUUGUUGGCGGUAACGGCGGAGCUCAGCAAUGGUGGCAUGCCAACCGAGGUGGAUUAAGGCAUGCUCAUGACAUGCUUGAUGAAAUGCCUGAGACGGAAAAGGAGGGAGAGAGAGGAACGAGAGAAGAGAUGCUCAAUCAGCGUGCCAUGUCAGAUGUCCAUGUGAAGAGGUAUGAACCUACGGUGAACCACUUAAUAAGUUUAUAGAUCCAAAAAUACACUUUUGAAGUUCGUGGUUGAAGUAGCACCUCCUUACAAGUUGAUGAUCCUUUGCAUUUUACUCAAAAAUUUAUAACACAUUUACAUACACCACACGGAAUGGUGCCUAGCAGUAAUGCACGAGCUUACUUGAGUUAUUUGAGCUCGAGCUUGUUAGGCUUACAAGCUUCGGCUCAUGCUUGAGGUUGGCUCAUUUACCAUUCGAGUGUAUCUCGAAACGAGUCCAAGAUCAGAAACACGAGUAGUUCACGAGCUUUGAGCUUUUUUGAUAACCCUGGAUGGAGAUUUUAUAAAUGGGUGGUUUAAGAAGCAUAUGGGUAAAUUGAAUAAAUUCUUCAGGAAAGUAUUAUGAACUUUCUAACUUGUCAGAUGGAUGGAACGGCACAAUUUACAUGAGUAUAGCUGGGUUGCUUGGUGCUCACAUCUGUUGAUGGUUGUUUAAAAAAAAUUAAAUGCUGGUUUUUUAUGCAAUUCACCCCUUCCUUUAUGCUAAUUGGCUGAAACUUUGCGUCUCCCACUCAUCUAAAUCGUAGCACUAGAAUUACAAAAGUACUACGUGAUAUGUAAUUUUAAUUUAGUAAGAGUUUGUUGCAGUUCUAUUACUAUGCAUACAAGUAAAGAAAAAGCAAUAAACGAGAGUUGUUGAUGUUGAUUAAAAGUUUGAAAAAAGUGACUGAAAAGGUACAAGAAUAGUACGUAUUAGUCACUUCAAAAUUAGACACUCUUAUAUGUCUUGGCUCUCCAAGAGCAGGAAAAAACAUAUGAUUUGCUAUAUUGGAGGAAAAAGCACUUGGAAAUUGAUAUUAUCCUAAAAUUAAUUUGCUAAUACUUGAGCAUUUGUGCAUGUGGAUAGCAAUAACGGAUAAUUGUGAAUAUGAGAUCAAGAGGGUGUGCACACAAAUGUUAACAUCCGUACUGUAUUAAGAGAGAAUUAAGAGAGAGAGAGAGAGAGAGAGAGAGAGAGAGAGAGAGAGAUGCAAAAUUAAGCUUGACAUGGCUAGUUUUUCCUUUUAUUUUUCUUCCUCCUCACGACUCUUAAAAAAAAAAUCGACCGGAGUGAAAGAUGUCCUUCUAAUUUUAUCGCUAAAGAUGAUGCCAAGAUUCGAACCCGGACCACCAAUAAAGAUUUCGUUGACCUCCGGAGUUCUACACUCUAUCCGUUAAGCUAUGAGAAUCUUUGGUUCCUCACAACUCUUAUACUUUCGGUGCCUGAAAUGGACCAAGAUUUUAGUUGACCGCUAAAUCCCAAUGAGAGGCAAAAGGUUAGCAACGUGGAAGUGCAAAAAUAGAUUGGCUAUAGUGAGGGAGGCGCCGCGUGAUGUGGCUGGGCUUGACAGAAAACGAGGGGGCGGGAAUGUUGUGCUGCAUGAGCACUUGUACAUCAAGUGGGCAAGAAAACAGAGUAAGAGGGAAACCUGUGCCGUCCGAUUAGGAUCUAAUGGAUAUGGGAAGGCUUCUUGAUCGACUAUUCUCAUCACAAGAAUUUGAUACCUCCCUGACUGUAACGAACCAAACAAAUGGAUAAUCUGUUUUUACCCGACAGUUAAAAGUUAUAUACACACACUCUCCAAGUCUCCAACUUCGCCGCCGUAAAGCCGAAGGCGACGAGAAGGACACCUUCCUAACUUUUUACUGGGAUACUGUACUGCGUACUCUGAGCUCUUGGGCCUAACGCUAGAGCAGCCACGUCAAACGUGGGCGCCAAGUGGGCACGCCCCACCGUCGCACUGCUCUUCAGCCUUGCCGUCGCCAGCGACCUUCGCGCCCUUGGCCGGAGCAUCGGCCUCGCCGCGCCGCGCGGAGCCCCACGCCGGCAGCCUCGCGGAGAAGGUGCGCGCCAGCAUCGACAUGUUGGGCCACCGGCCGGAGCUGCCGAGCCGGACGCUCCUCCCGGCGCGGGCGCCUCCGAAUCCGCGGCGCGCGCUCCCGUCGCCGCCCGCCUGGACGCUCGCGGACCGCCGAAGGCUGCUCGCCGCGACCACCUCCCGGAGAACGUGCUCCGGCAGCCGCAGCGUGUACCGCUCCGAGGCCUCGGCGGGCGCGGCCGCGGCGAGCGAGUGCCCCGUGGUGUGCGAGCGCGGGAACUGCGCGGGCUGCCGGCCCGACUUGCUCCGCAGCGCGCGCUUGACGCUGCCGAUCCGCAUCAGCUCGGCGGCCUCCUCCCUCCUGUUCCUCUCCUCCUCCGUCUCCUCUGCGUCAACGACGACGACGACCGCCGCUGCCGCCUGCUCCGGCGCCGUGGCUGUUUCCGGCGCCUGCUGCCGCGGGGCGUCUUGCUCCGCGGCGGACACGGCACUCGCCGGAGCCAGCGGUGGCGCCGGUGCCGCCUCGUAGUAGUCGGGGGCGAGGACGGCGCGGCAGACGGGGCAGGUGACGUGCGACGCGAGCCAGGCGUCGAUGCAGUCGGCAUGGAACGCGUGGGAGCACCGGGGCAGGAGCCGGAGCGUCUCGUCGUCGUCGAACUCGCUGAGGCACACGGCGCACUCGAGCGCGCCCUUCCCGACCUUGUGCGCCUUGACGUCGGCGUAGGCCAUGGUCGGGAACGACUCCAGCACGGCGCGGUCCAGCCCGCGCGCCGCCCUCCUGGACGACCGCGACGCGUACGCGAUCCCUAGCGGCCGGCGCCCGCCCGCCGGGUACCCGUCGUCGUCGGGCCCGCCCAGCGGGGGCCCCGCGCAGCGGCGGAGGUAGAUGGAGAAGAAGCCGAGCAGGAAGAACGCCGUGACGAGCACCACCAUGACGAUCGCCAUCGACGGGUUGAAGUUCUUGGGGUCGAAGUAGCUCGGCCCCGGCCCCGGCCCCGUCCGCGGGCCCUGCUGCGCCGUCACGGCGUCCACGGCCGCGCCGGCCAGCGCGACCGCGACGAGGACCAGCCGGAGGCGUCGGCCAUUGCUCGGGCCCAUGGAGGGACACGACGCUUGCCGGCCAGCUACCUAGCUAGGACGAUCUGAGUGGAGGGUGGUGGUCCGGUACUCGGGGGGUGGCCUUGCCUCUCGUCCCUCGUCUCCUUUUCCGGUGGGAGUAUUAAUGGAGAACGGAGCGGAGUGGCGAGCGUCCAGACGUGGGUCGAGAGGGAAAGAGAUAUAAAGGGCCGUGCCUUCAGCGUCCGGAGCAGCACGAAUCGUUGCAUCCACGCGAGAACACAACGUUUGGGCACCUGCAACAUGUGGGAUUCUUCCCGUAGCGCGCCGGCUCGCGGUGGAGACAGGCGCUCGAUCGGCUUCGUGCCUGGCGUGCACAAACAUAAACAAUGCUGGUGGCUUCCUGCUCCGGUUCCGGGAUGCACUUUGAUCUGAUCAACGAGGCGUCGAGGCAUCGGGUGGCUGGCCGGCCGCCGACACGUGGAUCCCCGGUGCUGCAGCCUGCAGGGCGUGCGACGAAUUGUGCGCCGUGCUCGGCACCUUCUGCUUUCGUUAUGUUUCCCGUGAUUGCUUUCGAUCGAUCACCAUCGCAGUUGGUGAGCGUACGAGCUACUGAAACCAGCUCACCUGUUAGCGGCAGGCGGUCGUUUUUAACUUAGAUUUGGGUGCUUUUCAUCUGAACCUACCACAAAUUCAUCUCAGGUUAGAAUAUUGUGCUCUUCCAAAAUCUGUGUUACUUUUCGAAUCGCGGUAGGUCGAGCGUGGCAGAAUUGAACGGUCAAUAAGCCAGUGGUUGCUGGUGACUUGCGACUUGCGAGCGAUGGCAGUCGUCGGCAACGACCAGACCAAACGACCUUUGCGUGGGCAGGAAACGCCAGCGUUGUUUAUUGGCAUCUCCCGGGCCUCCAGUCCACGUCCAUGCGCGCUCCCGGUCAAACCCGACAGCUCGGACGGAUCGGACGGCCGGCCAGCCUCUACGGUUUUUCUCCGCCGGGACCGGGCGAGGCCAGUCAGAUCAGUUCAGAUGGCAAUUGCGCCGCCGGUCGCCGCCGGAUUGGGAUCAUGAGGCCCGUUGCCGUCGGUACUUCCGGCGACAUGAAUGGAUCAUGAACGGGUGCGUGAAAACCGAAAAGGGCUAAAAACUUCCAAGUCCACGGGAGCAGGAAAACCUGCCGUUGCACGUACGUGGCGGCCACCGUGAUUGCAAUGGUGCGUACGGGCAUGGAUCCGUUGACGAUGGGGCACCGGUUCCGGUGGAUCCCCGUCACGUAAAGAGAAGUGAACACCUACCACUUGCUGCGCCCAUCAAUUCAAUUUUCCGGCAACGGGGCACUGACCUGUUGGCACUCAACAGGGUAAAACUCCCUUCUAGAAGUGUGGCAACGAUGCAAGGUAAAGGUGGCGCCAACGGAUAAGCAACGGCACAGUGCCGUACCCGCACGUAACAGCCAACGGACGCCAAGGCCACUGGCUUCGGGGCUCAUGCCGUUCUGCAGAAGGCGGAUGGGAUAAUUCAGACUUCGGGUUCAUUUUCCCCUUACAGACACGGUGGAAUCUCGUUCUCACUUUCUUUGUCCACGCUUUACAUCAUUGGCGAGUGGUUUUCCUUUACAUUCAGAUAAGCAGGAAGAGUCCAGGGUCAGUGGAACUUCUUUUCUUUCUUUCUUCUUUCAGCAAAGGCGGCAUUUCCUCGAUUUCCUGAUGUUCAAGUGCUUCGCAAAAAAGAAAAGAAAAAAAAAAGAAUACCGAUAACUUAGGAAACGAAUGGACUACACAGAUUUAGCAUCUCUUUGCAUAGACUUUUUUGAACGAAUAAAAUACUCAAAAUUAGCGAGGCGCUAUCGGACUAUCUUUUCCUUUUGUGUAGGCACGUUUCUCCUAUCAUGUCAAUACAGGCAAAAGGUAAAUGAGACAUCCAGCCACAAGCAACAUGUAGUUUGGGCUUAUGAGUGGUGAACCAUCUGCAACGGAAACAAAAGGAUCAUGUCAAAGCAGGAAAGCAUGAACAUACUGAAUCAAAAUUUAAAAGGAGGCAUUUGCUGCUGCAUCAAGCAACAUGAACAUCAAUAACAGUAAUUAUAGAACAUCCUUUUUUCCCUGAAAUGAUGACAAUGAUAGCACUGGAUUCUGUUACCCUAAUGAAACUAUAAGCACUACUGCAUGAGCUAUUUGUCAUGGGAUUCUGUUGCCCUAAUGAUAGCAGAUCAUGGAGUUAACUGACAAUAAUAUAUCAUAUGAUUAAUUUCGGAAUAACAUGGUACACAAUGACUUUUAAAGAAUAAACAGUUCUCUAACUCCAGAGUAUGUAAAUGGAAAUACAAAGGAUGUUUAGAAAUAUUUGAUGCUGAAAGCAGGAGAGAAGUGGCAAUAUGAGCAUCUUACCAAUAAGAUACCUAUUCCUUAUGUUCCAUUCAUAGUCCCAGUGCACACUGUUGCACUUCACUGUCCAAUAAGACCAACCAAAGGAUGCUUCACCAUAGACCUCUAAUUGCGCAUUUCCAAACAACUGAUAUUGGAGUUGUGAAGCAUUCGUCACAUUCCAUUCAUUUACCCACUCUCCUGAAUAAUGUAACGCAGGGGGUAAAUAAAUUAGCAUAAGUGUACCUGUGAGAUGCAAAGGAAGAGGAAAUAGCAUCUGAUAUAAUAAAUUAUCUUUUGUACUGCAAAAAAGUUAAACGGUACAAAAAAAAUAAAUGAACUAUCGAUAUAUUUGAAUGAAGUUUAACGUUUUGACAUAGGAUGUUCUGCAUAAACAGAAGAGUUCAAAUUGAGUUUGCAGAACCUACCAAUAAAAACAAGAGGUACAUUUGCACGAUUCAAGGACUGUACUUGCGGCAGUCUGUUCUUAUAAAUGAACUGUAUGUUCUCUGUUGCAUUCAGUUUCUCAAAAUAAGGAUCAAAGAGGUUGUAGUAAUGUAAAUCUACAACCGUGUUAGUUGCACCCAGGUAAGCCUGGUAAAGCUCCAUUGGAUCUGCAUUCCCAAUCCUCUGGCAGAAUAUAACAUAAGCAGUGUCUGAAUAACUUCGUACAAUCUGGUAGCCUGUUUUGUAAUAUGACACUAGAGUGUCUAGUGGGACUCCAGCUGCAGAAGGUUCAUUCAAAAGCUCGAUACCUAGGAGACAGGGAUUGUCUGCAUAUCUGCAGGUAAAAACACAACAUGCCUAUGUUAGGACUAAGGAAAUGCCUUUGUGAGACUACGGACAUUCUGGUACAAAGAUUCUUGUGACUCCUAUUAUUUUUAAUAGAUUUUCCAUUGAACCAAGACAUGCCCUCUACUUCCCUUACUGUUAUGUCUUUCCUGACUAUAGUACACAAAUUUAACACUAUUUUCACAGUUCAAGGCUUUAAGCAUGAAAAGGAAAAUCAUAUUGAUGACAAGUUCACAUAUCUCCUAAAGUGUUCUUGUGACCAAAAAACUAUCAAUGUUGCGCAUGUCUGCAAAAUGUCCACUGCCUUGUAUUUAUCAUAUUGCAUGAAAAAAUUAACAGACUGAAAAAAUGAGGGAAAAUGAUUCUUACCUUUGAGCAAGAAAAUUAAUGACAUCUAAUGUUUUCUGUAUGUUAGCUUCCGAAGGCCAAUCUAAUGAACCAUCUCUGCUAGCACUGUGCUCCAUUCCAUUUUGAGAUCCAGGAGCCGCGUGGAGAUCGAUGAUGCACUUCAAGCCAUAAAUCCUGAUCUCAAAAUCAGAACCCAAUACCAUGCAGUCUCAAAAUUUCAAAAGGAAAAUUUUUGUGAAAGGAACAAUGAAGAACAGUUUAGAGGCUAGACCUACUGUGCCCAAUAGAAUGCUCUAUCGAGGGCAUUCAGGGAGCCACCAAUAAAUGGAGCAGGUGGAUCAGGAUCAUAUGCAAUCCACCAUCCAACAGGAAUCCUGACUGCAUUUAUACCAUUUUGUGCGAUGAAUAAGAAAUCGCUUCCACUCACAAACUUCUUCCGGUGUUCCUGCAAAUUGUAUGAAUGAGCAACAAAAUAUAAGGAAAGAAAAAAUGUGCACUGCAAGCUUGGAGCAAAAGACAUGGAUUUGGACGUGGAACUUACUGUCAAGACUGACUUUGCCUGCUCAGGCCCAUAUCCAUUCGCAAGCUGGUAGUCUCCAUGCAAGUUAUUGGCAACAAUCGUCAUCUCAAAUGUUGCCAUGUCAUCAUCCCAUCCUGGUUGGGAAGGGUAAUUUGAAGUAAGCUGAUUAUUGUCUGUGACCUGAAUAAUGUAGUAUUUUGUCAACUUUCUAGACUCUGUUUCUGAAGGUUAAGCUAUUUAGUUCUGGUUUCAUUAGAAGAAUAUAAUGACAGGGCAUAACUGGUUCCAUUUGUGAACAUGGCAAGAGCAAUACCUGCAAAUAACUCCCAUUUAAAAGCUUGAUAUGAAGCAGUGUAUUGUUCCUCUCAAUGUAAAAUGUUUCCGAGUCCCCUGGUGAAUCUGCUGUCGCUGAGAUGGCGUCGCCAUCACUUGCUGUCAAGAACUGACCGUUGAAGCAGCGGAACUGAAAUUCAUUCAUUGAAAUUCUCCACAGCUGACAAAGUGACGAGUUACAAGGCACCAAGAAAAAUGCAGUUCAGUUUCCUCGCGCAGUUGUAGCAAUAAGAGAACACAGGACAGGCACACAACACACCUUGAAGGUCUCCCACGAAGAAGCGGCAUCCCGAUCCACUGUCACGUUGCCACCACCACCAUCACCCGUGCUCACGUAUUUCUGACGCCCCACUGACUUGAGCUGCACCUGCGUGCCAUCCUGGAGCAAACCCUCUCAUGAGAAGAAGAAGAAAGCAAGAUUUCAAGAAAACACACGGCAUUGCUCACACAUGAGCUGCAAUAGCCAGCAGAAGGAAGACCUACAAGCAUGUCCCUGUUCGGAAUGCCGUCAAACAAGGAGGGCUUGAUCCACCCCUCCACCACCAGCCAGCCCCCCAAGUUCACCGCCCUGACCUUGGAGAAAUUAUUGUCUGCGAUGACAAAGAAACAAGAAUACAGCACCAAGGCAGACGAAAUGAGUAACCAACGCACAGCGAAAGCAGGUUAAGAGUAGACUGACAGUGCCACGAGGCAAAAUGAUCACCUGUUGACGAAUGGGCCAUCCGGAACGCUGACAGAAGGAUCCCAAAGACGAAGAGACCAGCACGAGGAAGCCUCAUCGUCAUGACGGCAAUUCAUCGAACAGCCGGUGCGCACAAGACCCCGGCCGACGGCGCAGGGAUGGCAGGCACUUGUAUACUGGAUGGAAAGGGACAGGAGGAUUCCAAGCCCAUCGGGGCCAGAAACCGAGAGUGACGUGGCGCGUCCGGUGAGGCCGGAAGUCUCGCCUUUCUGUGAUGCUCCGCUAGUCAGCUGGAUACCUUCCUUAUCGCAAAGUUCAUCCCAAACACGGAUGGCGACGCAAACGAGCACCACACCGGAAACAGCAGCGGCUGCUGCCCGCUUUGCCGUCGGCCGCUUUUUCUCGCUCGCUGGUGGCACCGCCGCGGCGGUGGCAGGCCGACAUCCGCCGCUCCUGAGAUGCAGUUCAGUUCAGUUUUCCAGUGUCCGGGACUGGGAGCACUUUAACUAUGUGCCAUCCUCCCUCCAUUUUUCAUCCUUACCCAUACGCUUAUAUAUUUGCCAUUCCUUUGCAAACAAAGCAACACAGACGUGGCGCGCUAACUCACCCAUGCCAGCAUGGAUCGGGAUGGGAAAAGAUCGAAACGCCCCUACCUUUCUCCUGUUUCCCUCUCCUGUUCCUGCGCGCUCCAUGGCCGGCCAUAGCCGAGCUCCUGCUCGCCCGACCCCGCAUCCUCCGCACCACUGCCGCCAGCCGCACGCCUUCGCUGCUAGCCCCACGCCACCGUCGCUGAGCGCCGCCCCUCCCGCGCCUCCAGUGCUCCGCGCCACCACCCCGCGAGCCGAGCCACACCCUGCCACCACCGCCCUAGCCCAAAUCCCUCGCCGGCCCCACCCCCAUUCGCCCGCCCUUCCUCCCACCGGCCCCCGCAGGGGAUUUGGACGCCAGCCACGAGGAUGAGCGGUGGUGACCGGCCCCGGCUAGCGCUGGCCGACCCCGGCGAGCGCUGAUGGGGGUAGCAGCUCGUGGUCGCAAGAGUGUCCGAAAGUAGAAGACCCAAGAUGUGGGUCCCACAUGUCAGUGGUGGAGAGAGAGAGGAAAGGGAUAACUAAUGGGGAUAAGGUAGGGGUGUUUUGGUUUUUUCCCGUCCCGAUCCACGCUGGCACGGUUGAGUUGUCACGUUAUGUUAGCGAAAAUGAUAAAUUUGUUGCUUCGUACAAAUAUAUAAUCGCAUUCGUAAGGAUACUCUCGUAAGGAUAGCGAACAGUUAAAUAUCCCUCGGUCGAGCAGCGCCGGCACCAGGCGUUGCGGCACAAAGGCUAAGCGCUCACGAGCAGAGGGAGAGAGAGAGAGGCGACGCUGCUGCGUGGGCUUACGGCGCCGCGCACUGGGGGUGUAUGGGCUCAAAGUCUCAGGCCCACGGAUCCCUUAGCCCCGGCCGCCGAGCGCUCUAUGGGCUCAAAGUGUCAGGCCCACACACGGCCGGGCCGUGCUAAAAGCUGGACGGGACCUUGAUCACUUGACAGGCUGGGCUCCUGAAUCUUUCUUUGUCGGAAUCUCCUUUUUUUGAAAAAAAAACAAACUUUUGUCGGAUUCUGAGGUAGGCUGUCGCCGAUCAUGGAGCUGUAUCUGUAGGCUGUAGCUAGGUUAGCCUGAGCGAGAGCGACGCUGUGCGAGCGGCGCGCCAUGUCGUGUGCCAGCUUGUACAUGUGGCCGCAGGCCGCGACCGCGCGUGGCUAGCGUGCAAACUGUCGGGUUCAGAUUCCGCUCCGCGUGGACUGUUGCACACGGCGCACAAGUAGAUCGAAAUCGAAUACUAACCUGUCGUUGCCCAGCAAGCCAAAAAAAGGUCUACCACUCUAUGAUCGUCGUGAUGGAUGUACACCGCGUGCUUUGCCGUGCUGGCGAGCCAGAGCCAGCUUUACCUCUUAUUACCAAUGCAGUUUGUUACUAGUGCUAAGUAUUACAUAGUAUAGCAGGUAGCUAGGGCUAGGAAUACAGUUUUUACCUUAAUGAUGAUAUUCUUGUAACGAAAUUAAUCCUGAUCCAGAUCGAGAGGCGACAAAAAUAGCGCCUUGACAGAUGCCUUAAUGUCUUCGUCUUUGUUUUCUUUCCUUUUGUUUUCUCUUGGAGCCUAUUCCGAUGCCUUGACAGAUCGAUGCUUUCACAAUCUCGUAGAGUUGCUGCAUUUUGUGAAAUGGGUACAUUUGAAGGCAGUGCCAUACCUAGAACGUCAAGUAUUUUUUGACUGAACCAAAAUGCUCACCUGGACUGAGGAGACGAAGUAAAGUGCAUCAGCGGUCCUUAAACCCGUUUAGAGGUGUCAUCUAAUCUAGGUCCCCAAACUACAAAUUUGCAAUUUCAUACCACUAAACUUGCUAAUUGUGUCACUUGAUGUCCAAAUUUUGCUAACUUGGAAUGAUAUCUGCCACUUGGGAUGCUAUCGACCCACAUAACAAUAACCUAACUCUCUCUUACAUUGUCUCUCAUUUUUCUUCAUUCGCGUCAUCUCCGAUGAAUCAAACACUGCCCUCAGCACCACCUUAGCAAUGUUUGGGACACACGUAGGAAGUAUGGCAGCUUAAAACUGCAAAUUGGUAGUUUAUUAGGGACCCAUAUACAUAUCACAUCCUUAAUAAAUAUAGGGACUGUUGGUGUAUUUUACUUAAGGAGAGAGAUAUUCAAAUCCAAAUCCUUUAACUAAAGCAAAGAAGCCCCCCUGAAGAAAUCCUCGCCCAGAUUUGAACCUAGGCCAAACACUUGGGACACCGGAUCCCAGCAUCCCGGUACCACAACAAGGCUUCUCUGCACAUCACAUCCAGGUGCCCGGACAUCCUUAACUAUCAUGGGGGUUCAAAGACGUACUGCAACUUAAUUUGCACAGUUGACAGUACAAUAUGUUCAGAAAAAUCGAACAAGCAAGCAGUGCGCUACCAUUCAUUUCCAAGUUUAUGCAACUCUGUUGUGCCUCUGCAUCUCGACUGUACAUACAUCCGAACCGGUGUUAGAGGCUGGAUUACCUCAUUACCAUACACGAAAUGCAGGCACGCAUUCCGCGCGAACUGGCACCGACUCAUGACUCAUGAGAGCCAAAACAAAUAAAAAUAGAAUAAAACCCACAGCUGAAUAAUGUGCAUGGAUGCACGCACACAAAAGCCCAAAGCGUAGCAGAAAGGUCUAGCCAGCCAGGUACUACUGCUAGCUCGCACAGCCUGAGCCCUGGCCCCCUGAGGGCUGAGGCCUGAGGCCGGUGAAGGUCAAGCGAAGACAAGCCCCGGGCCUAGCGGGAAUAUUUGCGCCGCGCGCCCGGCCGGCUCGCUGUUGAUCUGACGCAUGCAUGUGCAUUCCGGCCAGCAGGUUGGUGGCGCUAGCUAGCUUGCAAGCGGACGCAAUUUUUUUGCACCCUGUUCCGCGCCGGUGCGCUACAGCUACAGGGCUACAGCCCCUCCGCCCAACCCCGGGCGAAACAGUAGUAGGCCGCUGAUCGAGAGAGAGAUCGUUCAAAGGUUCAGACCGGGCGGCCUGCGUGUCGUUCUGUCGCAUGCACGCAGUGAUUACUUCAGGUCUGGUUAUAUGGUAACUUGAGACUUGUAAUAACCUGCAGCAUACCCUGGCGGAUCUCACGGCUUGCAGUGAGCCAGGCCAGUAGUGACCGAUCGAGAGGGGGUGGCCCGUGGCCGGCCGGAGCCGGAGCCGGACGGAAAUGCACUGAACGAACGUCUGAACCACCAGCGUACCCGAUUUUUUCCAGACGGAAAGAGCCUUUUUCCUCCUCGCAGCGCAGAGAAGGCGCUGCGUACUGCAUGGACACACGUACAGGCUACACGCGAGUAGACCGUGCAUGCAUGGGGACGAGCUAUGCUACGGCGUCAAGCAUGUAACCGGGCGAUCUCUCCCCGUGCCCCUAGGGUCCGGGCCGGGGCUUUGAAAAUGACAAAUCGCCGGCACCCGGCAGCCAGGUCAGGGCUCAGGACUCAGGACCUCUGCCCCACAUCUCGUAGCCUUUUGUCAAUCAUCUUUUGUUUUGUAUCGUACUCGGCUACCCGCGGCGUGGAUCGCAUCGAUCUGUCCUUGUUGUGUUGCUACAGCGCUGUAAAUGCACGAACACAUGCAAUGCUAGCUGCUUCUUGCAUGGCCGUGGAUCGAACACAGCACAAGGCCGUCGUCUCGUUCAUGACUUUUCACCGGGACAUCACAUGCUGAAGUGGACGUUGAAUAGGGCGAGGAGUGGGGAGAGGGAUCAGAUAAAGCCAGGUGCUUUUUACUAAGUGAGAGGUUCGGUGUGCAUGCAUGCGAAAGGGGGUGCCUCGCCUCCCCUACCUUUCCUCUCUCCGUGUGUAGUGUAGGGAUCCAGCCUCGCUCAUGUGAUUUUGGGACAAUGAAUCCAAUUACAUACGAGGGGUUUUGGUUUAUUUGAUCUGAAGUUGCUGCCUAACAAUUUGGAAUCAACAGUGUCACAUGUUGAGGAAAGCAGAUUUGUAUGACAGAGCCCCCACAAAGUUCACAAGGUUCCAAUGAAAAUAUGCAGCAAACAGAACUUGGAAACAUGAGUUGGUUAAUACUAUAUCAAGGGAAUGAAGACGGUGUACUUGUAACGGGGGACAAGCUCACAAGCCCCAAUCAACAUUGGGACUCUCCACUCACUUUUCUCUACUCGCCACAGAUACGACUGACCUCCUUCCAUUCCUAAUUGGCAUGCAUGUCAGCAUAUAUGGAGCUUCCUUUUCGUUACCUUUCUCGAAGAAGGAAAAGGUAACACAUGAAAAAGGUGAAAAUGGUACUUGUGUUGAACAUAAGAAACUUUACACUGUUCACCACAAGCUUGAUGGGUCAUCAAUCCAUCACCUUUAUUGCAUUGUGACAUGAUCUGUUUCUAAGACACGGUACGUGUGACAUGAUUGACACGUAAUUCUCUUGUAACCUUUUGCAAUAAUUUGGUUGAGGGGUGGACCAUUUAUAAGGCGGUUUUCCCCUUUGGUAAUAUUCGCCUAUGAAGGUAACUCCAUGUUUUUCAUAUGCUCACAAAUCCUCCAUCCUAAAAGGCGGCAAAGCUAGCCAAAAAUGGCGAUGGCAACGGGAUCUUCGUUCUCACUGAUUUUGCAUAAAUCCAUCCAAGGUUAGCUAACCCCGAUAACAAAGGCUAGCUCUGCCCCUGUUGAAAGGUAGCACCGGCUGAAAAGUACUGCUCCAUCCAGGCAUCCCCGUUCUGAAUUAUAGUUCAUUGCUUUAAGUUGUCCUAACUAAAAUAUUUAUAACUUUGAUCAAGUUUAUAGAAAAUAUAUUAACAUCCGUAGUACCGAAUAAAUGCAUUAUCAAGAAACUUUUCACUGUGUAUUAACUGAAACUAAUUAAUUAGAUGAUGUAAAUGUUGUUGUCUUUUGAUAUAAACUUGAUCAAAGUUAGAAAUAUGUGACUCAGGAUAAAAUUAAAAUAAACUAUAAUUUGGAAUGAGGGAGUACUUGGAAGAUUUGUUUGGAGGAGGAAAGAAUAGUGUAAUUGCCAUAUUUAACUCCAUGCCUCAAUCUACCCAACAAGAUGCUCAGUAUCUGUUGAUACAAACUUUUUAGGACAUAUUAGCAUCUUUCGGUCAUUCUUUUUUGCUUCCUUGUAGAAGUAUAACAGAAGGUCUAGAAAACGAAAACAAAAGACAGAAAAGCCAAAUCCCAAAUUACAGUAGCUACGUAUAGUACGUCGCAUUCGAGAAGAGCAUCGUGAAAUUUAGGGAACAAGAAAUUGUUAGCUAGCCAUGUUCAUUCAGAGACGCGCGCAUGGGUCUCCACAGCUAGACGUACGCCUGUGAUGACACGUGGGUCUGCGGAGCUACAGUACAUUAUACGCGAGAGCAAAGGCACAGUGACGCUAUCCGUCACGCGCCGGCCUCCGUGCACGCGUGCUCGAUAUGGCAGCAGAGACGAUGGACGAUGUACCAAGCAGUAGCAGUCGCGUACCAUGCAUGCUAUGUGUACAAGAACGUAAUGCAUGCAAGAGCUCAGCUCCGGGCCGUGUAGUACGUGGAGAUGUCUGUUGACGACGUGCGAUGCGCGGCUAGCAGCAUGCAUGCACGACGACGUACCCACACUGCCAGUCUGCCACACAUGCCUCCCCGUGACCGCCGGCCGGCCACAAUGAUUCCCCUCAUCAUGCUCGUGGGCGCGCGCCUAGAGGGAUGGACGGAUCCGAUACGCCCGGUGCAUGCCGGCCGGCUUCGGGCUUCCUGCUACUAGCUGCUGCUGCGACCCAGCCGGCAUCGGAGUGCGGCUACGCUGUAGCCUCCCGUCAGCUCCCUGCCGAUGCAACCGCGCAGCUGCAGCCUGAGACUGAGACUCAGGGCACCCGCAAUGGUUGCCAUGUCAGCUCUCUACAAGGAUCCACGUCAUUUUUCAUCCUAUGUGGAGGGAAGAGAAACAAAGAGAGAAAUGCAUGUUACUGAACCUAGCGUAAGCCGAUAGCACAUCUUUCCAUGUUGAGUGUGCUCCACUCUCAGCCGUCCCCUCUCUCCUCUCUGCCUCGCCACUCGCUAGCUUGCCCCCGUCUCUCUCCACCUCCAAGAUCGCCAUCGUGGUGUCGACGAACUGCCACCGCGUGGAGAAGGGUGGAGUGCCGGCACGGAUGGAGUACGCCACCAGAGCUCGGGCUACCGCCGUGCUGAGCUCAACGAUGGAGGUAGGGUGGGUACUAGCGCGCCAGGUAUGGGUGCGGACGAGUCGGCGAGGUUGCUGGGCACCGGUGCGGGAGAAGGAGGGGCGAUAGCCAGGGUGGGCUGCCAGUGCAGGGAAGAGGCGGAACCCUCCGUCGAGGCAUGCGCAGGGAAAAGGAGGGGUGGCUGCCGGGGCGGUGAGGAGGUGGGGUGGGCCGCUAGCGCGUGGAGGAGGCUGGCCCGAUCGCUAGCGCGGGGAGGAGGAGAGGCGGAUGCGGCUGGCGGGUGGAGCCGUAGAGCCAGUGAUGAAGAGAAAGAAUGAAGAUGAGAGGAAAAUAAGGAUGGAAUAAAAUAUUUCUACAUGUGAAUCCCACAAAAUUUUGUAAACUACGUUAAAAGCUAAAUUAUUGGACGGAUGGUCAUAGUAUCUAUGGAUGAGGUGAACAUCUUUAUAUAGAGCCAUCUUUACCAUUACGCGGGUGCCGUGAGAGCAAGCGACGACGGCGCUGCUACUCCAGCAAAAGUUACCGCGUGGCUCCGUCACCGGUCACCGUUCUACCGCGUGGCUGCUGUGUGUCCUCUGUCCUCCUGCUCAACCACUCGCUCUGAUUGGUAAAUCUGGAAUGACAAGGUUGUGUAUUUUGUGCAGUCUAGGGAGAACGCCUUGUUUUUAGCAUCGCCUAGUGUGGGUUGCGUUUCCCGAUGCCACUGUACCAGCAAUCCAGCGGCCUGCGUCCUCUCUCUCUCUCUCUCCUCUGUCCUCCCCUGCCAUUUCGUCCCCGUCUCCCCGACCAAAUCAUGGCCUAAUCACGCCACUCCUCCGUGAGGCCUGAGCCCCCCCGGCCGUCCAUGGAUCCUGCACACACGCAGUAUAUAGAUUAUCCGUCGGCUCCAUAUGAGGCGCCAUGCCUUUCUUCCUCCAAAGUUCUAUGGCUGUCUAGCGAGCCAUCUUGAGGCUGAGCUAUCUCCACGUUACAUGUUGCCAGCUUCUCGCGCCUCCUUGUCCCUUUUCGGAGGGUAAUUUCUUGAGGCAUGGCGCUCGAGGCCGUGGUGUUCUGUGAGGGACUCUUCGGCAGCUGGGCCAUGGCGGCGGCUCCCGGAGGAGGAGGAGGGUGGAGCUGGGGCCAUGACGGAAAUGAGCAUGGCGGGGCCAUGGAGGGGAUGAUGGACUUGGAAGGGGGCACCGCCGCCGCCUACUGGGAGGUGGGCGCAAGCUCCUCCGUGAUGAUGAAAGGGCCUGAUCAGGAGCCGGACGGCAGCUCUGCUGCGCCGCCGCCGCCCGAGAACGGAUGCGGCGGUGGCAAUGCAGCAGCAGCUGGUGCCGGCUUUUCGCAGGAGGUGCUAACCGUGGCGACAACGGCGACGGUAAUGUCGCCGCCGUCGGCGGCGGCUGGGAGGCGGAAGCGCCGGAGGACGAGGAGCGUCAAGAACAUGGAGGAGGUGGAGAGCCAGCGGAUGACCCACAUCGCCGUGGAGCGCAACCGCCGCAAGCAGAUGAACGAGUACCUCGCCGUGCUCCGGUCCCUCAUGCCGGCGUCCUACGUGCAAAGGGUACGUGCCUAGCGCCAGCGCGCCUAUUUAGCUAGGGCUCAAUUGUUUAACCUGCCAUUGUCGAUCUCGAUGAAGAUGAUGGUUUUGGUUUGUGUGUCGUGGACGCUGGAUGUUCACAGGGAGACCAGGCGUCCAUAAUUGGCGGCGCAAUCAACUACGUCAAGGAGCUGGAGCAGCUGCUCCAGUCGCUGGAGGCGCGGAAACACGCCCGCCGCCACGACCCGUCCCCCGGCUCCGGCGCCGGCGACGCUGCGCCCGCGCCCUUCGCGGGCUUCUUCACCUUCCCGCAGUACUCCAUGAGCGCCGGCGCCCGCUCCCCCGCCGCCACCGCAGACACGCCACCCGCAGACGACGAGCAGAGCCCAAACAACGCUGACGCGGACGGCAACAACGGUGGCGACGACGACGACGCCUCGGGCUCGAGGCCAUCGUCCGUGGCAGAGGUCGAGGUGACCAUGGUGGAGAGCCACGCGAAUCUGAAGCUGCUGUCCCGGCGGCGCCCGCGGCAGCUGCUGCGGCUGGUCGCCGGGCUGCAGGGCCACCGCCUCUCCGUGCUGCACCUCAACGCGACCAGCGACGACGCCCGCCACAUGGCCCUCUAUUCCCUCAGCCUCAAGGUAACCCUACUUCGCUGGUCGCCGCCACCCCUUUGUCCCCUUCCCCGGCCUCGGUUUCCGUGAGCCUUGUCAGGAACGACGCCUCCAAACUCCCCCGUCGUCUCCACGCUUUCAAUGAAGUCGGCACCACGGGGUCAGGGACAGGCCGUGGUUACAAGUACUAUCGCCGUAGAGCUGGUUGUAGAAGGCCGGCCGGCCAUGGCAUUCUUUAAUGUGCCGUCAUUAAUGACCUGCUGAACGUUCUUCUCGUGUGUUUCUGCUUGGCGGCUGCCGCAGGUGGAAGACGACUGCGCGCUCUCGUCGGUGGACGACAUCGCGGCGGCGGUGCACCGCAUCGUGGAGGCGAUCGACCAAGAGGAGGGCGGCGCCGAGCUCAGAUCGCAGGCUGAAGAAUAAUGCACUACCUGUAGGCUUUGAUGUCUGAACUGAUUUGCGCGUUUUGUAUCGUCAAGUAGCAAGCAGUGCCCCCUCCUGUAUUUAGCAACUUUGCAUCUCCCAUCUAUGGACGACGUACGAUUUGUUCUAGCGUCACAAGUGUUUGUGUUUGUACGUAGUACGUGCAUGGGAGGACCGUACGACGUGACACGCGUUGAUUGCGGGCAGUGACGUGUUCUUCACCGCCUUGUCGUAGUUGUAGCCUGUAGACGACGCAGCACGAGGAGCGACGACAAGCACAAUCCCAGCAGAGCUUUCAGGGCCCUGUGCGUGCCUGCCUGUGCGCGCGCCCUGUUGGACCGGCUGUUCCCCUCGUGAAGCAACAUUCCCAAUCGAGGUAGCAGGAACGAAGAUUCCGAGACAGCCCCGGCCCCCGCCUGCCGGUGGCCACCCGCGCAGCCGGCGUCCGCCCCCGGGCGCUUCAGUGGCAAGAGCUCGGCCCCGCGCCGGCCAGCCCGGUGGUGCGCCACCGCGUCGUGUGGCCAUGCCAGCGCCUGUGCAGGAGGCCGGGAAGCAAGGGUUGACGAGCGGUUCCUGCAAAAGGAGCUUUUGCGGGAAAGGGAAUGGGCCGAGAGCGAUGGCGGGCAACUGAUGCUACUGAACGCUGGAAAGCGAGGUGGUGAUGGGGGGAGAUCGAGCUGGGGUCCUGGGGAAACUGAGAUGAUAGGAAAAGACGUGCCCGCUCGGCUCGUGUCGUCGCAUUGACCCUCGCCGAAAAGAGAUUCUGGGACAGAGGCCCCUUUCCCCUGCAGAGCCCUUUUCCCGUUUCUGCCUAGGCAUGAUUGAUCGAUCCCAUUGCUAAAAGCCCUCCUGAUUCCUGAAACGACGCGUCUCUCUCGAGAUGUCCUACCUCAUUUUUCUUUCUCCCUAUGUCUCUCUUAAUUUUUCAUCAAAAGGAAAUUCUGGCGAUAAUUGUAUUUGGCAGAUGUAACUAGUGCACGAGUACACGUGACGCGUGAUCCUAGCGUGGAAAGUCACCGGCCACUGAUCUCGCAAAGGAAAUAGUACCGGAACGAAGGGUACUGCGAUAACUGAUGAGCAAAGCAGGUAACCACCUCACUAGAACUGAAGGAAAAAUGUACAUGAGAGUAUGAGACCUGAUGGCCCAACCCAGUCUCUUACCGUUGGAAAGGGAUGGCAUAGUGUUAAGGUAGCAAAAACACAAGAUCACAUAUUCAUCCUGCCACUGCAGCAGCACAGCGCCCAUGACCACACAACAGGGUGUGUUAGCUUCCGAAAUCUUUGCUCUGGGGCUCUGCUAAUGGGAAGAAACGAUUGUCAGCAGAGUACAAAUUUUCACAGUCAACAUAGCAUACACAAAACAUCGACACAAAAAUUCUACAGGUGGAUCUAACAAGGAACUAUGUGAUUUGGUUUGGAACAUCCAGCCUCAUAUUUUCCCUUGCAGUUGCAGACCACCACUGCAUUGCCAUUUAAUUUCCCACCAUACGUCGGCUCAGACCACUGGAGAACUGGACUUAGAGGUAACAAGGCUAUAGACAUAGUUCAUGCAACUAAUUAACUGGAUAGAACAUAACAAUUUGGAGAGGAAAUAAAAAGUCAUAUUGCACCAUGUAAAAGACAAACGGACAAGUUGUUUGACAGCUCUCGAUAUCAUUCGAUGUUUCCAAACUUAGAUCAAUGAUUCACACGUUUCAGUGGCCUACUUAUUGUUUGAUAUUGAGCUCAUGUCUGAAAGGAAUAAAUGCAGGUAGGCCUAGUACAUCCCUGAACAAACACGACAAGAUAAACUUUAUCAAAAGAUUCCCGUGUAUCUACAAUCUGUCGGAUAAAGCAUUCUUUUAGUAACAGAGACAUUGGUAAAUCAUAGGAAAGUGACAAGAUAUAUAGUUAGACGUACUGGUCAGAUCUUCCAAGAAAUAGCUCAAAUGGAAAUAAAAGCUAAGUACUAAGGAGGUACUGAAAAGUAAAAGCACAUGUGAAGAACACAAUAAGUGUUCGAAUCAGACAAAUUAAAAGGACAAGGAGCAUAACUUGCUAACUGGAUAUAAUUUGACUGAAAUGUGUAAAGUUACAAUAUGUUGUACAUUUUCUCCAAAGAAGACCGGGCUAAUAUUUCUGAAGUUUUAGAUGAAGGAGUAUCGGUGCUUAUGAGAAUGCAGAGAAGUGGUGGCUGAGUAAUGAGUGUCAUCUUGUUCUGAAUAUAUAUUGCCAUGAGAUUUUUCAGUAAUAUGAGGGUUGAUCUUGCUUUUUGGUUACUGAAUACCAUUGACUAUGUCCAACCUACUCUUAAUAGUUAAGCAACUCAACAUCUCAUUGCACUCUUUUUCCAAAAGUACAAAGCAAUAGUUCCACUAAUAAUUAGUUAUCGGCUCAUUGCAAUUGAAUUCAACUUUGAUCGAGUAAUGUGUGUCUACAUUGGUUUGUUAAGGGGGUGUUUGGGAGGCAUGUGCUAAAUUUUAGCACAUGUCACAUCGGAUGUUUAGACACUAAUUAGGAGUAUUAAACAUAGCCUAAUUACAAAACUAAUUGCACAACUCCUAGGCUAAAUCACGAGACGAAUCUAUUAAGCCUAAUUAGUCCAUGAUUUGAUAAUGUGGUGCUACAGUAACCAUUCGCUAAUGAUGGAUUAAUUAGGCUUAAUAGAUUCGUCUCGUGAUUUAGCCUAGGGGUUGUGCAAUUAGUUUUGUAAUUAGGCUAUGUUUAAUACUCCUAAUUAGUGUCCAAACAUCCGAUGUGACAGGUGCUAAAAUUUAGCACCUGCUAUCCAAACACCCCCUAAGUCUUCUUGAAGUUGGAGCAUUGAUACUUUAGACAAAACACAAAUGAUGAACAGAUGGAGGUAAUUUAACUGUCAAGAACUCAAGAUGCUGAACAUCAGAAUAUUCUAAGAUUAAAAGAAAAUAUGCUUUAGUUGAUUCUCAAUUCUGUCAUGCUACAGGUUUGUGCUCUGAAAACUUAUAAAUGGUUUAUAGUAAAUGCAUUUGAACUUUGUCAUGUUACAUGUUUGUGGUCUCAAGAACUGACGAGUGGUUAGUAGGAAAUGCAGUUCACACAUAUAUAAAUCUACUUUGAUUUAAACAAAUGAUAAACAAAUAAAAUGGGGGAAGCGAUGAGAAGGCAUUGCCACUAACUACUGCAAUGCAAUCCAUAACUGAAUUUUUUUUUAGGGCCAAUGGGGGGAGAGCAUCAAUAACUGAAAGAUGGAGCUAUAAAAUGUCUCUGAGAGAACAAAAUUUAGUAAUUAAGAUGCUUUACAAAUUCAAAGCAAAGUUGAGAAAAAAUGAGGUAGUUCAGCUAUCAUUUCGUGAUGAACUCUGCAUCCAUACUCAGGCAUCUGCAUCUAUCCACGGCGCCUGUGUGAUGCAGAGUUCAUCCGCAAAAUGAUGUGCUGGCAGCCUGGCACAGAUUAAUGCCAAUCAACUUUCAUCACCAGUUUUGGAAAUUACUUUUGCUAAGAUAGAUGAACAUGACAAACUCGGUAGGUAUCAAAUUGCAUUCACAAAUCCAACCAGACCCAGUUUAAUUUCAGGAAGAACGUGGCCGGAGGCCCUCCUUGACCAGGAAACUCACCUCCCGCCUCCCGGCAAGUCAGCACCGACACAUUGCUCUCCAGUCUCCACACCGCGUGAUCUCCGAGCGUCAACUCCGUCAAACCCGUGGACUCCGAUCACCGUUCGUGCUGCUCCUCCGCCGCUCUGCCGCCGUUUCCCGCUGUCAGACUCGGGGCACCAUCAGGCUCUUGGCCGGCGGCGUUCAAGCUGAGCACCUGGUGCCCAACACCGGCGUUGUCGGUUGUCUCCUCCCAUCCGUUGCUCGGAGGUGGCCGCAACGCCGGGGACACGGCACGGGUCUCGCCGUCGCGGCGGCGGCGAGGAGGAUUCAGAAUCUCAGACGAAGGGACCCCCCGACUCUUCUCGUCAUAUUACCAUUUUGCCCACCCUUACAAGUUGGAUAACGCGCAUGAUAAUCGCGACGGGACCGCGUCGUGGCUCGUAGCAGCCGUCCGAUCAAGUUUAAGCGGCUCAGAUCGUUGGGUGAUUAAGCACGACACCUUCGCGUACGGGCCACACAAACGCUCCUCUCUGAUUACACGAGUCUUCUGUCUUCUCCCCCUCCACCAGUCUCAAUCCAAUCAAGCGUCUCCUCAUCGGCUUCCCUCAAAUCGAUCCCCAUCGCUCCGCUCCAUCCAUCCAUGGCGACCCUCACCAUGCAGCCGAUCGGCCCCAGCCCCGCCCCGGCUGCCCAGGAAGACCAGAGGCGAGUGGUUUCCUUCCUUCGCUUGCUUGUUUUGUUUUGCUCUAUUGACAUCCAAUGAACGAGCGAUUCGGAGCUUCGUUUUGUGAUUUUUGGUGUUCCUGGUCUUAUGCAGGAAGGGGGAGAACCCUGCUGCGGAUGCUGCCGAUUUGAGUGACAUCGACUCGGGGUAAUUGCUUCCGUGCCCGUUUAACCGCAGUACCUGACUUCCCUAGCGAAUUAGCUCAUGAUUUAUUGAUGUUGCUAUGAUUCUGCACAGCUGGGUUGUCCUCAAGAACUCGGAUAUCGUCUCGGCGGACUUGGCCGCCGCCGCCAUCAGUGGCGGUCAGCGUUUAGGCUCUUCAGCGAUUCCUAGCUGGUACGAGUUGGGACUGUAUACAUCAAGAAGCGUGUGUUUGGUGGUCUGUUUCGUGUGAAUUGUGACCGAUUUUCUUCGGUUUUUUUCACCAUGUUCGUUCGGCGUUUUGUUCUAACAGGGCACGAUGGGUUCUUGGAGGUGUGGUGUACACGGUGGUGCCAUUCUACAACAGAGUUAGGCAGCUUGAAGGUACGUAAGAUUAUAAAAAUCAUCUACUGGUUAUUUUCUGUCUUUGGCUCGUUUAUAAUAUUCUGCUAUAAGCAGUGAAGAAUAGGUUUUGUAGUUUAAAACAUGACUUGAAUAUAAUCGUUUCAUGAGUUAGCACUAACUGCUUAGUAUUUACAAAUCGUUUAUCUUGCCAAUAACUUUAGAGAUUCUGAUUGCUAUAGCUUGAUUAUCAUGCCAGAAGAGACAGUUGGGUUUGUGGAGAAUACUGUAGAGGUUGUGGAGCAUGUAGCUGAGGUAACAGAGAAGCUAGCUGCAAAUGUGGCUAAGCAACUUCCUAAAGACGGGUCUCUGCAGAAAGCAGUGGAAGAGGUUGAGCACAUUGCUGAGGUAGUGGAUACUGAUGCAGAGAAGGUUGAAGCAGUCACUGAGAAGGUUUGCUUCCGUUUUUUUAUAUUCUUGUCGAUACUCUCAUGCUAUAUGUAUUUACAUAUCACAGCUGCAUAAGUAAUAAAAUCUUAUUUUAGAAAUUUUAUCAUUGCACAUUACAACUGAGCAAAAGACAGCUUUGUGCUUGUUCUGGUGUUUCGAUGUUUGCCAAGUUGCUAGCUAAUAUAUGUAGUUGCCUACUUGAUCAUAAGUUUACUCCUGAAGCAAGAAAUGACUAGUAUUUUAGACUUUAGUAGUUUCCUUUGGGGAGUGGAAAUUUGCGCAAAUAUCUGUUGUAGUUCUGCAGGACAAUUUUUCAUAUAUGCCAAGUAACAAUGAGUAUCGAGAACUGUUCGAAGUUGUUUCUUCGGAGAGCAUAGAUUUUCUUAAGCAAUUUCAGACCAUUUCGUAGCUUAUAUUGGUCACUGUUUGGCUGAAGGCUUGCUGUGUAGGAAUCUAGUUGUUUUCCAUAUUUCUGGAGCACAGAAAUUUUUGACAUCUCAACAUCUGAUUAUCUGAAAGAUUGCUUGACCGCUUGGUGCUGCAGCUGCAGGAGUAGUAACGCCUCAGACCUUAAGUUUAUGACAAUUUUUGUAAAGCUACAAGAGAAUGCCAUAGGUUUGCAAGGCAUCUAGAAAUAGUUUAGUAGGACUUUAUAAAGAGAACUUUGUAGAAGGUUUUUGUGUGCAACAUUCGACGGUAACAUAAAUUUGGAACUACGGAAGAUUGGAAGAUUUAUUAACCAGUUCAAUUAGAAAAAGGACUCCUAUAAUAGAUCAUGAAAUAUUUUCUUGUUUUAUAUGUAAGGUGAAAGUUAACCUGGAAUAAAGGUAUUAACGUUUUGUGGCUCUCCUUGCCCGUACAGAUCGACAAGGUCAGCGAUGAGAUUGACGCUGCUGUGGAGCCUGUCAUCAAGGAGCUUGAAAAGGAACUCGACCAGGGCACAACAUCCGACAAUGGAGUUAACGCACAGAAGUGAUCAGUGGCCUGUUAGGAGUGCUCCUCAAUGUACAUAGCGUGUGUAAUGUUGUUUUUUCUCCUCUCCUCUUUUGAAGGACUGCUUGUACAUAUGCGUGUUGUUGUGUAUGAAUUUCACCCUGCCAUGAUCACAUAAUAAGGUGUGAAGAUUGUGCGCGGGGUGGUCGACUGGUCGUAGAUGAAGUGUGGAGAACUGAAAACAGUUCAGACAUUCGUUUCAAAAAAAAAAACAGUUCAGACGUGGAACUAGAUUAAUAUUCAUGAAUUAUUUGUACACUAUCAAAUCAUUACAUACAUAAAUGCAUAUUGGCCUCUUCGCAAAAAAAAAAAACAUAUUGGCCUGUUCAUUAGCCUUCUACUAGGAACCUUCUAAUCGUUUAAUCUGUUUCACAUUUACCCCCUCUGUAUGUUACUCUGCUCCUGUAGUAUGCAGACCAAGGAAGAAGGAUAUGAACUCUCAUAACCAAAGGCUCAAGCUAACUUUUUUUUAGAUGAAGGCUCAAGCUAACUUCUCAACGUUCCAUCAUGCUAAACCCAGGGCUGCCCAGUCCCUAGUGUCGUGUCACUGAAACGUCCGGCGACACGGGCAGGCACUUGGCGGGGACGCUGGCCGCGAACGUUUUCGGCGUCCGCUUGCCGAGGAGCUGGGAUAUUUUGCCGUGGCGGAUAAAACCCAGCGAGGCCGCCCGCGCCACGGAUAUCUUCGCCGCCCGCUGCGUCGCGAGCUCGCCAUGGCUCUCCCCCUCGCCCGCCUCCUCUUCCCCGCGCUCCCGGCAUGCCAGUGCCAGCCACCGCUCAGCCUGCGCUUCCCCGAGCGCCACGUCGCUCCUGCCCCCGCACGUUCCCGCGGCCACCGCGGCGCCUUCGCUGCCCGUGCGGCCGCUAGUGCCCCUGCGGCCCCGGCCCCCGCGGCGCCGGAGGCGGAGGAGCAAGUGGGGCCAAGGACACGGCUCGUCGCGCAGAACAUCCCGUGGGACUACACGGGCGACGACAUGCGCGCGCUCUUCGAGAAGCACGGCUCCGUCGUCGGCGUGGAGGUAGGCAUCUGCUUCAGUCCCCUCCCUCUCUUACCUAUUCGAAGUUUUUGCUUCUUGAUACAGCUCUGUAAUAGUAGUAGCAGUAAUCCUGUUAGACGGUGGAUGCUGUCGAAAGCAGUGGCUGUCGGAUUGAAGUAUUAGUACUGUUGGAGUAGUUUGCAGUUGCUCAACUUAUGUAGAGACAGAAAGACGACAUGGCUUGAUGAAGAAACUGAAAUGCAUUUGGUGUGUAAUGGGCCUCACGAUCCAUUUUUGCUGUGCUCAAGUAGGUGCAAUACAAUAGUUGCAAGGCUUUGAAUCUGAAGGAAAGCUCAUUCUAUGCUUGUGCGAAUCUGGCUGCAAAAUACAAACAUGACGGCUAAUUUAGAAUUCUGCUACUAAAAUGGGGACAUAAGGAGGUUAGUGGAAGCAAUAUUCAGAGUUAUUGUCAGGUUGUUGCAAACUCCGUCGGUAUGCGCAGAGCUUAAUUACUUGCAAGGUGCCCCUCCCUUUAUUAACUUUGGAGCUAGUUAUAUUUUGUUAAAAAAAAUAUUUGGGUUAGUCUUAUAUGAUUUCAAAGUCUUGUAUUUGGAUCCUUGAAUAAUGGUUUAGUGCUACCAUAUUACUUUCUACUGCUCAUGGAACAAUGACUUAACUACUUACGAGAAAGUAUUCUUGUUUUCAUGGCCGGCCGCUCAUUAAUCCAUUUCACAAUGGGUGUUUGCUAAAAUUACUCAGCUCUAUACAAAGACAGCCAUGACCAAGUUAGUGAUUAUUUUUCUUACUUGAUUUCCUAGCUUUCAAUGUACAAUGCCAGUAAAAACAGAGGGUUGGCGUUUGUAACCAUGGGUUCAGAAGAGGAGGCUCUUGCAGCUCUCAACAAUCUCAAUUCAACUGUAAGUUUAAGUAUCGCAUAAAGUAUAGCUCACUCUCAGACUCACCCUGCUUACUUACAUCAUUGUUUGUUUCCCUCCAUCCUCAUUUUGAUGUAGACUUUAGAUGAUAGAAAGAUCAAGGUGGACUUUGCGAGACCUAGAAAGAAGCAACCUAAGCAAGUUAAGCAACCUGUUGUGGUAUCAGAUAGCACGGAAAAGUAUAUUCUGUUUGUCGGAAAUUUGACAUGGAGAGUCAGAAAUCGUCACCUUCGCGAACUAUUUGCCUCGGCCCCAGGUGUCCUAUCAGCUGAAGUUAUCUUUCAUACCACUACGCCAAGGCGAUCUGCUGGUUAUGCAUUUGUUUCUUUUUCUUCAAAAGAGGCUGCAGAGGCUGCCAUAUCUUCUUUAAAUGGACAGGUAAAUAUUCAUGGAUUGUACCAUGUACACGUAUGUACUAGUUUGUUUGUUAUUAAAAUUCUACUCCAUAGCAGCGGUUAAUUUGACCUAUGAUUAUUAUUGCAGAAAUUGAUGGGACGACCCAUUAAUGUGAUGUUCAAAGAAGAAAGUGCUAAAAAGAAUGAAUCUUCUGUCCCAAAGGAAGAGGAGGCCGAGGAGGAAUCAUCUGAGCAGAGUGAUAGCUAAACACUAACUUUUCAGAGAAUCAAGAAAAGUGAAAUGAAUUGAUCUGUGGUUACAUAUAUUCUGACCCAUGGACAUGGUAUUUAUUUUUCAGCAGUAGUUAUAUCUUUUGUUUUAUUUAUCUCUAUUUAUUCCAUGUACAUAUUGGUUUACCAAGAUUGGAAGUUGUUUUCCAUGUGAGAAAUGAAACAGCCUCCUUAACAUGUUAUUGUUGAUUACAUGUCUGUUUAUUUAUGCCGAACCUACAACUAUUUGCCCACUACUGGUUAUUCUUUCAUGAUAUAACCUAGCAGAAUCAUGUCAUAAAUCGUUGUACUGCCCCUUCUGACUGUGAUCUUUGCAUCUUUGCAAGUGUUAAUGGCAGUAGAAUUUUCUUACUUCUCAAGGUAGUAUGUAUGUAGUUGUGGCAUCACUACGGUUGUUUGUUUUUAUGACUGGAUGUGGAGGUGAUGACAGCAUCAAUUUAUAUAUAUUGGCUUGUUAGCCAGCGCUACAUGGGUGACACUUCUUUCUCGUAAGGAUGCCAUAUUGCCGCUCCGUUUUGCUGAUUCAGGACUCAUGAAUUGUGAAAUACUCCCAAUAUUUCAUUAACUUUUCUAAAUACAUAGAUAUCUAAAAAAACUAAAACGAUCUACAUUUUGGAACAGAUGAAGUACGUGCUGUGUAAGUUCUCCAGUUGAUAUCUGUGACAUUUGGAGGUCAAGAAUGCUGGGAGCGCGUAAAUAUCAUAUCUGUGGUCUCUGUAAGCUAUCGGUAGUAGUUAACUGCAAACUAAACAUGAGCGUGAAGGAGCUCUCACGCAAACGGCUGACGUACUUGACCGUGGUUUUUGUCUGAGAUGAAAUAUUAUUUGGAACCACGUAACCAGAUAGAAAUUUGGCCGGUCAGAAAUGCUGUUCUCAAGUUGAACCUGCUAUCUUCCAGGUUAGGCUUUAUUCGGUUAAUCCCCUUCCCCAGGGGAUUGAGGGGGGAUCGGGGAGAAUUGAGGAGGAUUUUGACGUGCACGGGAUUUAUCUCUUCCAAUCCUCUUCAAUUCUUUUUCAAACCGAACAAGUUCUUAAUGGGAUUUGAAGAUUUGGGGAUUAAGUUCAUGAUUUAGGCAUUCAGAUUGAGAUCAAAUAGAUCUCAACUUAUUAAGGUCUAUAUUGCUGGCGGCUUCAAGAAGUUAUUUUUUAUUUCUAUACAGUAGUAUGAAAAGAAAAAUAUUUGGAUAAUCUUUCCUUAAAAAAUAUUUGAAUAAUUCUAAAAAUGCAUUUAAAUAAUUAAGAAUUGGACCAAGCCUUACACUAGGAAAGUGUCCAUUUAACCCCAAACUAUCAACAAAGUUUAAUUUAAUGCACGCAGCUGGCAUGCUGUCACAUAGCCAUAUUGGAUAGCUAGAGUGGCGCCAUGAGGUUAAAACUAUAUAAAACCAUCUAAAUAGAAAAUUUGAACGGUUUUAAAAGGUUGGAGGCGUAAAAAUCUGGUAAUCAAUUAGAGAUGAGAAAUGGGACUUCUUCGACUUUUUUCCCCAUAUAAAAAACCUCACUAUCUUGUUCUUGUGCCCCACCCUGUUCUGAUGUUCUCUGGUUUGGGACCACCCCGUUCUUGGGUCCACUUCACAGAGCACGCAGGGGGACGGGGCGCGCAGGCCGGAUGGUCGCACGGGCACGGUCAUACUUCCCGUCUCUCUCUCUCUCUCUCUCUCUCGGGCCGACGAUAGGUCGAGCGGCGCCGCCGCCCUUGGCUAGUUCUUCCUUCUUCGUCGGGCUGCUCGCGGGCGACGAGCCGGCAGGUAUGCAGGCACAUCUCCUUCCCUUCCUACUGUGUUAAAUCUAAUACCCAAAACCCUAAUGUAUGCUAUUUCUAUUUGUAUUCGAAUCUGACCAUGAAUCUCGAUUUUUUUCGCAAAACAUUAUCGGGUACCAGGUCGGCAGGUCACACCUGGAUUCAAUUAAAAGAUGAGGAAGCUCAAGUUCCACGAGCAGAAGCUACUCAAGAAGACAAAUUUCUUGGAGUACAAGAGGGAGGGAGGCCACCGGGAGGCCCUCGUGACGCAGCGCUACCGCCUUGUCGAGAGGGACGAUUACAAGAAGUAAGCUUGUAUUCUAAUUUCUAUCCCAACCCUCCCAUGCUUUUCCUGUUAAAUCAGUUUUGCUAUUUGUGCUGAAUCAGUUGGAGGAUUGCGCUAUGUUGAUCUUGAAUCGAAGUGUUUGAUGAAAAAUACACUGACAAAUUGUGAUUGUUGUGCUGACAGGUACAAUGGCAUAUGCUUAAUGGUGCAAAAGCUCGUUAACAUCAUAAAGCAGAUGGACCCAAGAGAUCCUUUCAGAAUAGAAAUGACAGACAUGCUGCUCGAUAAACUGUAAGUUAUUGUCACCACUUUUCUCCAUUUGGUUGUGAGAUGAUAUAUCCAUGCUUUUGUGAAUUUUGAGCUGGACCAUACAAAUUACUGCCUUUAGCUGGGUAUGGAUUGUAGAUUUCUUGUAGAAUUACAAGGACGUUCACCUGUAUGUAGUUUGUCAACGAAGGGCAGCACGCUAUGUAGGACAACUAGACCAUUGUUUCAUUCACUACUUCAGACAUAUGGAGAAGAUUAAAUCGAUGCAUUGUCAAUGUGUUGAGCUACCAGUGUAUGAAUACUGAAUUUGCUGCAGUGUAAGUAUAGCAAAACUUGCUUGGAUAACCCUCUCUGAGAUUGUGAGGUCUUCAGAGCAUAAGGGCACCAAGGGAAAGUACUAUUAUCUCUGCCUAUGAUUGAACUCUCAACUUCUUGCAUCUGCCAUGGAGGUAAUAGGCACAACCUAUCAUCUGUACUAGUGUUUUUUCCCUUGAGCAUGACAAUGGAUAUCUUUUGUUAGAAACCGUUAUAUCUCACUCCCAGGCUACCAGGCAUGGAUAUCACUAAACUUGCUAUGAUACUAUUUUUGGUUGAGCGUGUUUGUCGCUGAUAUCUCAACCUAUUUCAUUUGUGAAAUCAUGUAAUGUUUGUCCGAUUUGCCCAUAUCCUUAUUUGUGUAGUAGUCUGAUGGUUUGUCUUAAAUUUCAGAUAUAAUAUGGGUGUAAUUCCAACAAAAAAGAGCCUGUUAAAAUGCGAGAAUCUUUCAGCUAGCGCCUUCUGCAGGUAUCUCUUUCACAUGUGGCAAUCAUUUUCCGUUCAAUCAGUGGGAGCUUUUCUGAAAGUUGUGUUUUGGUCAGCCAUCCAAUUUCACUUCAAGUUUUUUUUUUGGUUUGAUUAAGGCCUAUGUGUUUCAGAGUAUGCCAUGCAAUUUUGGCUAACCACUUAGAGAACAAUAUUACACUGAAUGGGAAACAGCAUGGUAUACUGCCUUCCACUUACCUUAUUUCUUUGCUAAAUCACUGUAGACGGAGACUGGCAACAGUUAUGGUGAAGCUCAAGUUUGCAGAGCACCUUAAAGAGGCGGUAACAUACAUCGAGCAGGGGCAUGUGCGUGUAGGUCCAGAGACAGUUACCGAUCCAGCCUUCCUUGUGACCAGAAACAUGGAGGACUUCAUCACCUGGGUGGAUUCCUCAAAGAUCAAGAGGAAGGUCAUGGAGUACAAUGACGCAUUGGAUGAUUAUGAUGCCAUGUUUUGAGAGAAUCAUUCCGCGGAAAUUUCUGUGUCCAUCAUUGUAAUCUUGGCUACGCACAUGUGGCAUUUCCAGAACAAAAAUCCGGAUAUUGUCUGUUGCAGGCUGCUUGCAUUUGCAUUGCAGACGUGAUACAGUCUUGUAGCUGGUUGCUGACGCAUUAUGUCUGAUGAUGUAGCGUGCGAUUGUCUUUUUUUUUUAUUAAAGGGAGAGUUUUGUGCUACUGCUACGUUGUGCCUUCACGAUGUUCAUUCUGCAGUGCAUUUGUGGUUGACUGCGUUGUUAUACCCUGCCCCAUUCAGCACAAUUUCAGUUGGAAGUCGGAGUGCUCUAAAGUCCAUGUGGAUGUCGUUGAGGCACGAAUUGGAUGCCAAUUGCAGAUGAAACUUAAACAAAAACUCGCCACAGAGAUCUCUCGGCUAUGUUGAUGGGGAUUUGAGGUUAGGGAUUUAGAGGGAGGGCCGGGAGAGGGAAAGUUGGCCCACGUGGCAGAGGAGACUAGUCUGGUCGAAGGUGACCGAUUGGAAGGGUCAAGACGGAGACAACUUUUCCUAAUGGUUUAGAGCAACUCCAAGAGUACUUCAAAAAAAUUUUCUCCAAAAUUAUAUAUUGGGGGUUCUUCCAAAAAAAAUUUUCCCAAAAACAUAUCAAUCCACAGCAGAUCGCUAAUAAAUAGUCCCUAAUAUUUUCAAACAGGCCACGUCAUCAUAUUGGACCCAUCAGAAGGGACGCGCGAGCGUGCGGGAAUCAGGAUUGGGGGAGGAAUGCCAACGCUAAAAUAUACGCGGUGGUAGUCUGUUUUUAGCGUUGCUAAAAAAUUGGGGAAGGUUUGGGUGGACUGUUGGAGCUCGUUUUUUCUCCUUUUUUCCCUAAAAAAAUAUUGGGGGUAAGAUUAGCAGCCUCUUGGAGUUGCUCUUAGCAACAUGGUGGGGCAGGAGUGCUAGCAGAUUUGGCACUUGGCACUUUGGCAGUAGAGACAUCGGAGAUAAGAGGAGGGUUUUCUUCUUUUAGGCUAGGUUGGCAGCGAGGGUAGAAAAAACCAGGGAAGAAUUCCCACGCUAGGGAUUUUGAUGGCAAAUCAACUUCCCGGUGGGGAUUUCUGAUUUCCCGGGAGGAUCUCCUUGCUGGUGUUUGGAAACCUUGGAGGACUUACUCGAUCAGGCGGGGCGGAGGCGCGGCAGGUCGUCGGCGCCAAGCAGGCGGGAGGGUGAUGGCGAAGGAGCGAGCGACUACGGCGGUGGCGUUCGACGGGGGAGACGGACGAGUCGGCGGUGACGGAGGAGCUGGGGGGAGGAGGAGAUAGGGGGGCGGCGGGGGGAGACGCGCGAGAUGGGAGACGGGCGAGACAAGGAUGGGGACGGGCGUCCGAUGCCUGAAGGCCGGGAGGUAUUCCACGCGGAAUAUUAGGUUGAGACAGGCUAGACUCCCCCGCCUAGCAGGCUUCCAAAUGCACCGGUAAAUUAGCUCGUGAAAACUUUCCGCAUGAACUUCCUCCGCGGGAAAUAGGCCGGGAACUCGGUGGGGAAAUGGAUUGCUAAAUAAGCUCUUAGAGGGUACGGGGUUAAUGGGAACUGGGAAGCUUGCUCGCGACUUUGGCGUCAGGAGGAAGACCGAGGAUGAUCUGAGAAAGAAGGAAGAAGCAAAAUAGCCCGAGUGUGGGUUGGACGGGUCAAUAAGGAAAUCCAGAUAUUUGUCUGUCUUCAAUUCUAUGCUUAUCUGAGUUGACAAAUCGCAUUCAUUCUUUAGAAUCCGGCAGCUGUGCUCAUCAUUCAUGUGAUGCCGAUAUUUCGGUUGAUCUGACGUGACAGACUUAGUACAGCCUACGUACGGCACUCGUAUGCUCAUCCUAUCGAAAUCUCAAAUGGCCUCAACAAAAAAAGAAUCGAAUGCUCGAACGAACAAACCCACACAAAAGCGAAACGGAAACGCUAGGUCCCGUUUGGAGCCAACACCAAAAAUUAAUCCCUAUCACAUUAAAUACUUAAUAGUAAUUAGAAGUAUUAAAUAUAUAUUAAUUACAAAAUCAAUUAUAUAAAUGAAGGCUAAUUCGUGAGACAAAUCUAUUAAACCUAAUUAGUUUAUGAUUAGCACAUAUUACUGUAGCGUCGUAUGGGCUAAUCAUGUAUUAAUUAGGCUUAAUAGAUUUGUUCCGUGAAUUAACUACGAUUUAUAUAAUUAGUUUUAUAAUUAGCUCACAUUUAGUCAUUUUAAUUAAUAUCAAAUCUCCAAUGUGACCCGUUAGAAAGUAGUUCACGGAGUGUGAGACGCGUUACGGCAGUUGACAAAAUGCUCACCCAGAGAUUCCUCCGCCGGUGUUCGUUUUCAACCGCCCCUAUCGACGUGAUUCCGUACUAAUUUGUUCACUCGCGAACAAAGCGAGCGCCACUGUACGUAAAAACACUACCUGGACGUGCCGUCCAAAGCACAGCAACGAGCCAACGACGUCGUCUUAAAGAGCGAGGACGCCGAGGAGCAGCGGCGACCGUCGGGGCCGCGCCGGCCGAAAGCUCGGGCGAGCUCGCAGAAAAGAGACCAGCGGUGACGUCCGGCUCCCCUCGGCGCUCGGCAGACGCAAGCACGCGAUACGCCACGCCACGGAGGAGGGAGACGGGGAGCUGGGCCUGAUCGAAUCCGGGGUCCUUUCGUGCCAGGCCGAACAAGCAACACACAGGAUUCACACGAAAGACCCUCUCCUGUCUCCUCCUUGGCGAGUCGGUUGCUCCGCGGCCACGGUUUCAGUUCCUUCCUCGAGGAAGCCUCCGUUCCGUGCGCCACGCUCGAAGCAACCGCUCUCCCCCGUCCCCCCUGAACCUCACCAAACACCCACCCCCAGACCUCCCCCAACCGAUGGAGGUGGACCCGGCGGCCGCGGCGGACGAGAGGGGGAAGAAGGGCGCGCCCGGCGGAGGCGGAGGCGGCGGGGGGCUGGAGUGGGAGCUGGAGAGGCAGUACGACUUCGAGCGGGAGAUGAUGCUGAUGGCCGCCGCGGCGCCGGGCGCGGGGCCGCAGCAGAAGCCGAAGCAGCAGCGGCACCGGCCGUUCACCGCCGAUCUGCUCCAGAACUGCGACCUGCCCCCUCCCGCCAAGCUCUUCGGCCCCGUCCCGACCCUGCAGAGGUGAGCGCGCGCGCCAUCGUCUCUUGCUUUACUUCUCCCUCAGUCGCCGCGAGAAAUCCCGCCCGUCGGGGAUUGCAUUGGUCGGACCUCACUGAGACCAGCGCCGUGUCUGGAAAAAAGGUUGGAGAGCGCGGCGGGGGCGGACCAGAAGGGCGACGCCAUCGGCGGCGGCGGUGGGGGGAACAACAACGACAGCCUGAUGCGGGCGCUGCGCCUGUCGCAGUCGCGCGCGCGGGAGGCGGAGGAGAAGCUGGCGGCCGCGGGGGCCAGCAACGGGGAGCUCGCGGCGCUGCUGGUGCGGGACUCGGUGGCGCUCUCCGCGCACCGCCGGUGGGUCAUGAUGCUGGAGGCCGAGAACUCCCUCCUCAGGGGAGGAGGAGGAGGCGCGGCACCCCGCGGCGCGGACCCGGACCGGGACGGCGACGGCGACGGCGACGCGCGGUGCGGCGGCGGUAGCGGCGGGUUGGCCGCGUGGUGGGUCGCGGUCGCGGUCUGCGUCGGCAUCGCCGGCGUCGGGCUCGCGCUCGGCAGGUUCCUGUGCUGAACAUCUGCGAACAAUUAUUCUCCCGGAUUUUGUAAAGCGGAAACUGCGGAUCGGAAGAUCGAAUUCACCUUAUCCAGGUUAGAACAGUUCGUUGAUACGGAUGCACACGUUCUGUGGAAAAUGGAAAUAUUACAGCUCGGUUACAAAUUCUAGUCUGUGAUUAGCGUUCCCUUGCUGCUGUAAAUCGGGGAGUAAAAAUAUGAGCUGCAAAGAAGCGAGGGUAGUGUACAUAGGAUUGGACUAGAAGCUGCCGUAUCCAUCACUGCACGCUUUCAUGGAAAGGAAAAGGAGAACAAAUCUCAUGGUCGGAAUGGGGCAUCCUUCAGGUUGUCUACACUUUGAUGCCUGCCUUCAGGUUCCGGCGAUUCUGCGAUGAUUUUGCUCUGGUCACUUUCAGAGGCUUAUCUGCUUGUCUAACCCAAGCACAGGCAAAUCGUAGCCGUACGGGGCAGAGUACAGUACAGACGCCACCGGGUAUACUUGGACACUUGGUUACAUUCUUGAGUCAAUUCCCCAUCAAAAUUUAUAUAACUUCCCUCAGUGCCAUAAAAUUUUAUGAAGGGAGGAAAUCCCUUCAGUGCUAUUGAAGUUAAGAUUUAUCCUAGUGCCAUAGAAUUUUAUGAAAUUUAUAGAAUUUAACCUCAAUGGCACCAAAGGGAUUUCAUAAAAUUCUAUGGCGCUCAAGGAAGUCAUAUAAAUUUUGAUGGUAACGAGGAAUUGACUCUACAUUCUUAUCAUCAUUAUUAUUGUGGGUUGGGGCGUAAUCGUAAUCCACGGAAAAUCAGGAUAGGGCUUGUCGGGUCCAAUGUCUUUUCUCUCUCUUCCAAAUAAAGCUCAAGUUUGACCAUUAGUUCUACCAAUAUGAAAGAUAAUCUCUACUAAAUAUUAAAGUGCGGUUGUUUCUUCUAACCGUCGUGGUUGUUUUUGCAAAAAGAAGUCCCUCAACUUUUUCGUAAUAAACUCGCAGUCCUUGGAAUAGUUCUUGACGAUUUUGCAAAAAAGUCCCUUUAUCCACCCGUUCCCCUCCUCCUCCGGUCUCUUUCUGACUUUGCAUGUGUGGUGCGUGCUGCCAUGGGAGGUUGCGCGUGGGGGAGAAGAGAGGUCGACGCCAGCCCCCACACCAUCCUCCGGCCGCGGGCGCCACCGCCUGCCGGCCCCUUCUCCCCUUUCUCCACUUUCUUCUUUACUCGUCAGCCCUUCCACCUCUUUCUCUCCACCUCACUAGUGCUCCAUCUACCACUAGUGAAGGGCUUAUGACGGUUGAGGUUGCAUUAAUGGGUGAUGGUGUAGAAGCAGGAUUGGGCUUGAAACAUGGCCUCACUGAUGUUUCUCAAGACGUUCCAUGUGUAUAUUCUUUAAGAAGACUACUAUGGUCUUCAAAAGCCAAUGUGACAUUUGGGUUCGUCCAAGUCUUUCUUCGUUUGUCCUCUCUUCUUUCACUGAUUAAGCUUGGAGAAGCAAAGGAUCAAAGUCAAACUCAAAGAGUUUGAAUUGAACGAGUUUUUAGACUUGAAUUGUCACACGAGAAAGGACCAAAUGGUGCCAUCAUCAGACCAAUUAUUUGGGGCCAUUUUCAUUCAACUCUAAGUACAGCCCAGUGAUCUCAGGCUAUUGGCACAGUGGCCAAUCCCGUGCCACUAUCUAUGAUUGUGUUUGGGUGGUAAUCAAGGCCACACCAAUUUAUCCGGUGCUGCUAGCAUGCAUCCAACAAUCCGAUGGUGUUGUUUUCUGCCGAAUGGGGUGGCUAUUAGUCAGCUGCAACACUCAUGGCCUAUAUUUACAUCUCCAUGUCACUCAAUUGAGCUUUCUUGACUCCUAGAAUACUUAUUGUGAGGGCUAGUUGGGGUGUUUAGGAUUUAUUAAUUAAAGAUUAAGCACCCAUUAUCUUUAGCGACUGUGCAUCUGCUUGUAGGUCAAGUGAGAUUCUUUGCGUGUUCCUUGCGUGCUCUGUUUGGAAUCCGCAAUCGGUUGGAAAAUGGAUAUCCACUACAAGCAUUUGGUCCUUGCGUGGAUUAAUGGGAGCUAUACCCUUACGUGAUUGUGAUUGCUCCAACUAAUCAUCUCUUUCUGCAAUUUACAUUCUUAGAAUUAUCAUGGCAGUAUAGUGUUAUAACUAGGUUGCAAAACUUUGUGCUGACUAAACUUUUCUAAGGUUAGGCAAAAGGAUUAUAUUUUCAGGAUAAAAAUUUGUAGAAGCGUAAUUCACCUCGCUCUUAGGUAGUUUGACCCUUCCAUACAAAAUUAACUCGAAGUAAACAUGCAUUGUGCCACCAUGCAUACCAAGUAUUCGUGCAUGCACAAGAGAAUCAUGAAAGAAAAAGUUUUCUUGAAGAAAUCACACACCAAUUAAUGAGACCGAUAAAGUAUUUUAAAUAAUAUGAAUACUCUAGAAUACUAAAUUGUAUUAGCUGCCACCUUGAAUAAACUUAUGCAUUUUGGCUAAAACAUUAUAACAUAGAUGCACUAAUCAAUUUAAUUGUAAGCACUCAUUUUUUCUAAAAAUAUCAAAUACUACUGCACUCAUAAUUCUUUGAUAGUCGAAAUUCAACAUCUUAAGUGUUGUAGCUGACUAAUACAUAUUUUAAUUCUAUUGCAGUAACUAAAAGUGUAGUCUAAGACCUAGAGUGAAAUUUUCUAAUAAAAUAUGGAAAAGAGCUUUGAAUAAGAGCAAAAACAAUGAGCACUAGAAUUUAAAUUUAAUAUACGGAGAAAAAAUCUAGCAACUAACAAGAUCUAAUUUGAAAGCCAAAAUUUAGAUUGAUUGAGUACGACACAUGAGCUGCAUCAAGAGCUGAAACAACUCAAGCUAAAAUUUCUAUUAAACAUCUAUCGAAGAAAAGUUUUGUUGCAAUGCAAAGGGGAACAAUGAAUAUGGAUGGUAAUAAUUUGUAACCAAAUUUAUCAGAACUAAAUAGAGUCUACACAGUAUGUACAUAGGUACUGACGCUAGAAAAGUAAAUAAAAAGAAAAUAAAGAUAAGCUUGAUUAGCCGGGUGGACUUUUAGUGCUUAUGUCACCUAACAUUCUAUCUCAUGCCAAAGCAUGGGUUCGAUGGACUAGUAUUUGCUAUGUAAUAGGGAAAAAAUGAAUGACAUGCAUGUACAUUUUUGCGAGUGACGUGUAUGUACUUAGUACUAUAGAAAAUAGCAUUGAUGUAUCAAGCAUCGGUUUGGCUCUCAGUUGAGCACGAACCAAACAUUUUUUUAACACCAUCUUUACUUUGCCUAGACUCUCUAGAUUCUCCUCCUUCAGAUUUGUUUGGAUAGAAGAGGAUUGCAAGGGAAAGAAGGGGAUUACAUUUAAAAUGAACUAAUUUCCUCUUCAAUCCCUCACAUUCGAAUUCAAAUCCACUGGUGUCAAACAAAACUUCCUUAUUACAGUGGUGAAAGGGUUUAUAGAAUCCACGGUGCCCAUGCACUUUACUUCUCUGCUCCUAUCCAAACGGGAGCAGGUCGUGGUCGUAGACGGGCCGGCCGGGGGUUGGUGGCACUGCCACUGUACCUACUCCCUCCCCCUUGCUAUCUGCACUUGGACGCGACGCGCCUUCGCGGUCAAGCGACGGCGAUGCCGCCAUUGCCAGCCGCCAAAAAAACGACUCUCACCGAUAGCAGACCGGAAGCCUGAACUUUCUAAGCCCGUAUAGCACGGUAUGCGGCCUGACAUGGUUGCGCAAGCGUGCAAGCCAUUGGACGACGAAAAUUCAAUCGUCUGCCUCUGCCCUGGUUUACUGUCAGGUAAUCCGAAACAAACACACACAAACAAGCUACACAAAUAUGAGAAAAACGUUUGUUUGAGAAGUCGAUCUGGUCCAGCUUUUGUAUUUUAGUAUAAAUGGAGGCGUGAGGAGAAGCUGAACUGCUAGUUUCAGCUUAUUUUAGCCAUAGUCAGGAUUUGACUGCCUGUGAGCUCCUGAUAGCUUACCGUGUGUCCUCGGUGGUAGCUGCAUUCUGGUCUCUGUUGAGAUGUCCGACCGCGGCGUGGCGUCGCAUUGACUUGAACGAAGAUGUUGUGAUGUUUCCGGGCCGGUGAUAAUCGCGUUCGCGUCUUCUUUAUUUGCCUGUGAUUUUCUCAGCCCUUGAACAGGUUUACGAGGCGCACAAAGUCACCACAAGCGAUGGAUAUGUCGCCUACGCCUACCUUCAGCGAAAGAUUUGCAUUGAAAUAAAUUUUUUUAAAAAAAUACAAAGACCCCAUGUUGAGUAGAAAUUCGAAACGUAUGGGUAUGUUCCACCCAAGAAAUCCAAUCAGCUGGGUUACGCUCGGCACGAACCUUUAUAUUUAACAACAUGUUAAUCAUACUCCCCUUCCAUUUUCAGAUAUUUGUGCAACGCAUUAGGAAAUUUCUUGUGUGUUUUUUUUUUUCAAAAAUCACUAGGUCGCUUUUGAAUUUAACUGGACGGUAAUUUUGAAAAUAGAGGGGGCAAUAGCCUUGGGGACUAGUAAAAACAGAGGCGAAAAGGACUCAUAAGUGAAUACAACCAUGAUUGCCAUGGAUCUAAUGGGCGGUAUGGAUACUCUACGUGUGAAUGGAGUCUGAAGUCUGAACUGUCAAUAAGAUUUCUGCGUCGUUAAAAAUAAGGAUAUCAGUUCAUAGCAGCUUGCUUGUUCCUUUUCAACCUUCAAUGCUGAGAUGUUGCUCCAGCGCCAAGCCAGGGCUUAAAUAAAUUAUUGGCACCCAGCAAACAUUCCUGAAGUAGCAGUAUACCUCAUCACAAAUUCCAAUACAGGAAACUUACCUGCAACCUCACACCACAAAAAUAAACUAAAUUCUUCUCUGAAGUUCUUCCUUUUGAGAAAUACUAGUCUUGUCUUCAAUUAUUACAUGAUCCCAAUCCAGCUCCUGUACGUUUCAAAAAAAAAAAUCCAUCUCCUGAUUGAGACGGAGCCUAACCUGCUCAACUCAACAGCAGCAGACGACGGGUCCGUAGGCACAGCUAUCUGCAGUUCUGCACACCACACCCACCGCCUAUGAUGAAGCCAAGACGGCGUCGUCUUCCUCCUUUCGGUCAAUGCAUUAGGUGAAAAAGGAGGAGCAGAUUUUACACACGCCGGACUGGUACUAGGCUAUGGCUGGGCCUGCCUUGCUCUCCGGAAUAAACCUGCCUAUGAUUAGGUCAGCGAUUAGUUCGUAACAUGCCACCUUGUAACGCGACGUCAAAUCAAAGGUUUAACUAUUUCCUUCGAGCUCCGGGAAGCUUUUGCCUCUACUGUACACUAGCCUUUUGACAAAUGGUGAAUCAGCAGGCACUGAUCCUUCUUCUUCUUCUCCUUCUUUGAUGGAGACAUGUCAGGCAACAGGCUGCAAUAUACAUGCUGAAAUUGCAGAGAGGAAGGUAGCUGCUGCGCCACUACUGCGGUGACUAUACAAUACAAUCCGUUAGUGGCUUCAAGCUUUGGCAUCGGUUCUCUUCUCCUAACCACUCCAUCGCGCUGCUCCCUUUCUUCAAUCGAUCGACACCUUCCGUUUAAUCUGUGCUGGGUGUUUGGUGACAAAAGCACACGGAGGUCGAUCUGGCAGGCCGUCUAGAAGUAUUGAACCGUGAACAAUCAUUAGAAAACAGAGUCAGUGACUCGGUGUAAACGAAGUAGUUGAAUGGAUCGAGCUCCAUGUAUGGCCGGCCGGAAACGCGUGCAUGGAUGGGUCGAUGCUGCGACAAGCGAUAACCAUCAUUGACGACGACGACCCUCACCUACCAUACACGAUGGAUCCAUUCGGGGUUCGAAAUGAAGGGGAGGAAAGCGACAGAUUUUGCUAGCAGCUCCGGCGAACCAGCACGGAAAAGGCAGCGUCCCUGUCUUCGGCGAUCCACUUCGCCGUUCGAGGGCAACUAGACAAGAUGUUUUUCUUUAAGGGAAUGAUGCAUGAGAUCAUCUUUUAAUUUGCAUUUUCCUGACUGCACAAAAUCUUUGUAGGAUUGGAGAUAAAAUACUAGUUAUAACAUAGCAUGAAGAUCAACAAGAAAUCUUUGAAUGAGUAGCGUGCAUACAAAUUCAACGCGAGCUAUUUUCCACACCUGCGAUUGGUGAUGAUGGGGAGCGACAAUUUCAACCCAUGAAACAACGAAGCUGGGGGAGGAGCCCAAGCGUGGACCAACGACUACUCCUUUUAUCCUGCAGCCGCGCCGCGUCUUUCCGAUAGCUUAAUUCCAUGAGAACCAUGUGGUGUGGCUCUAUAAAAGGGGACUCCGGCAACCUGCCCUGCCCACCCAACCAUCGAGUGCAAGUGUGCAACCCAGUCACAAGACAUCACUAAAAGCUACCUGCUUCGUUUCGUGGGCAAGCUCCUCUGCUCCAGCCUCUUCCAUGGCGUCCCGUUCCGCUUUGAUCGCGCUGCUCGUCGUCGUCAGCUGCGCCGCCGCGGCCUCGGCGGCCACCUACAACGUCGGUGAGACGCAGGGGUGGAGCCUAGGCGUCGACUACAGCACCUGGGUUACUGGCAAGAACUUCUCGGUCGGAGACAAGCUAGGUGCGUACUCUGUCCUCGGCAAGCUGCUAUUUACUCGCUCGGCCUCGUGCUUGCUCUUCUCGUCUGAAAUCACACACUUCACCGUUAACUUGUUCAUCAUGUAAUGAAGAGAUAAUUACACUGAAAAAAAAAGCAUCCAUGGCAUCUCUUUUUGGAAUGGCAAGGUGAUUGAUAAUUCAAUGGAUUUUUCAAGUAACAUUUCUUCUCUGUUUGCUAAGCACUCUCGAAACCUGCAGUGACAAAUAGCAAAGCCGUUUCUUCACUUUUUAGAAGUAAUCGUGGGGAAUUGUGUACUGGGUUUUUAAUCCAAUCGUUUUUUUUCCCGUCCCCUCCUGCAGUGUUCACCUACGCCACCGGGAACCACGACGUGCUGGUGGUCUCCAAGAGCGACUACGAUGCCUGCAACAAAGGCAACGCCCUGAGUACCCAAACCGACGGCCCGACCACCAUCACCCUCGACUCCGCCGGCGACCACUACUACAUCUGCGGCAUCGGCACCCACUGCAGCGGCGGCAUGAAGCUCGCCGUCAACGUCGGCUCCGGCUCCGGCUCCGGCGGCGCCCCCACCCCCUCGACGCCGUCCACACCCGGCACCCCCACGACCCCCGGCACCCCCAGCACCCCGGCCCCCGGGAACGCCGCGUCCGCACGCUACACGGCCGCGCCCGCUCUCGCCGUGGCCGCCGGCGUGCUCCUCAAGCUCGCCCUGUUCUGAUGAUCACCACCACCGCCGCCGAGACGCACGGCGCGGCCUGGCUAUUUUGCGUGGCCAGGGUAGAGGCAGUGCAGGACUAUUCUUGAGCUUUGUUUUCUGAUCAGCCGGGCAUGUACCUACUGUUGAUGCUUUGCUGUUUCGCUUGUUGUUCAUUUGCGAGUGUAGUAGUUGGUGUCUUGUAAUAAUUUCAUUGUUUUCCUCUCCAUGGAUAUAUCUGCAUGACUUUGUCCCAAUAAUGUUUGCUUUUAACACGUGUUAAAUUAACGUGCAAUCUUUUUUUCGAAAGAUAAUUAAGGUGCAAUCUAGUCCAACUUGCUCUUAGUGCAAGCUGAGCUUUCUUUUCGCCGGAGAAAAAGGCCCCAAAAGCUUGUUAUUCUUGAAUUCUUUUUUGAAAAGAUAUUCUUGAAUCUUGACUUGAUCAAAAGUUUGCUUCUAGAAGCUUAAAGCUGGAGCUCAAACCAAACCAGCGCAAAGUAACAGUGUCACAAUAGGGACCUAGUUCAAAGAACGUAAAAGGUUAGUCAUGCUGAGCAAAGCAGUAGGUGCCAAUAAUCUACAUGUUGGACUUUGGUUAGUUCUAGGGCGAGAGUGAUUCGGGCGGUUGGGUUAGGUAACAAUGACGGGACUAAGGCUAUAGAGGAAACGGAUUUGGAAGGAUGCGCGGAAAAACAAUGCCGAGGACGACAGUGAUCUCGUUUGGAGGGUACGUGUCGUUACAAGUCCUUCCUUCAAUUCCCAAAGUGUUACAGAAGCAAAGGAGCCAGAAGCACGGAAGUGCCCUGCUCUACUGUGCGGAAGUGAAAGACGUGAAGGUUACAAAAGCCUCUACCUUUUCAAGGACGACCGUUAAAAAGACCCUAAGCCUCGAAGUCUAGUGACUUCAUCCGCGGUUGUUCGUGCUAUGGGGUUAACUGCUCCCUGCGAAAUUUCUCUGAAUCUGUCCUCGGCCGUUGGAACUCCAAGUCAACACCUGCUCCGGCCCGUGCGAAUCUGACGGUUCGCAGCAUGUGACCAGCUGCAACGGAGCAGGUAUACGAAAUCAUGCGUCUUUGAAUAGAAAAGCAUGGAGGUGAAGGGUUUUUCAAGUUUCCUUCACAUCUCCGGUGGUAGGUGGAGAGUAAGGCCAUUCUCAGUCCAAAAGUGCCACGUCAUCUAACAACCAGUAACUUGAUGAAUGAAACUAAGUCUCUCAAUGCAAAUUUUAUUUCACGAUUUCAUAUGUUAGCGUAUCAUUUAAAUCUUUCAUCCAAGUGACUAAUGGGAGUUGAUGCAUGUGUGGACAUGAAACUCAAAUCCUCUCAAUGCAGUUUCAUUCUAGUUUCAUGGCUCUAGGUAACCGUGUACACCUAGUUUCAUCCCCAUGAAACUCAAUUCUUCUCUUUCUUUUUAAAUUACAUGUCAUGUCAUCACUUUUACCUAUGUAGCAUGUCAUUUAAUGAGAAUGAAACUCAUGUGACACUUGAGAAUGACCUAAGGAAGGCACUAUCAGGUGUCUCAGCCUCUCACAAGUCUCUUCUACGUAUCUUUUUUCUUUGCGAGAGCAUCAUUAGUCUCAGCGAAAAGGAUGAUGGGCCAGCACAAACUAGGAAUAUCCUAUCCGCCCGCUCGCUACCGAAGAGGCCCAAAUCCAAUGCAUGCAUCCUCAAUGCUUAACCUAUCUGGCCCAUGGGCUACAAAUGAUAAACGCACGUUGGGGUGAACUUGCUGGUGACCAUAAUAAUUAUCAACAUCAAGAUUAUGUGAUCUGGUUAUACGUCUAUAUAAUCUUGAUUAAGGGCAUUGACUCAAUCUAUGCCUCUACGAUUUAUAUGCGCCGUUUGAUCCAUCGUCUAAAUUUUAAUAGGCUAAAUUUAGCUCAUCUGGAUCCAGGGCAACUAAAGACCUCCCAGCUAAGUUUAGCCCUUUAACUAAUUUCAACUUGCUAAACCAGCUAAACCCAAGUAGAAGUGUUUAAAGAUAGUUCUACCCCUCCACAGUCUCGGUAAAAAUCCCCACUACAAUUAAUGAAGGGUCGUAUGGUAACUUAUUUUUAACUAGUAUUUAGCUAGUGGAUCUAAACACUCCUUGCUAAAAUUUAGCUACCUAAAACUAAACUUUAGAACAGGACCUAAGAUUCCUACGUUACUUAUUAGAGCCACAAUUUUGACAUCCUUGCUACUGACCCCACGAUUCUGCCAUUAAGACAAAAUCUUAUAUAAUCUAGAGCGAUGACAAUCUCAAACAAACAGAAUAUUAAACCCACAAUUCUGACAACUUUUCUGCUAACCCCACGAUUCUGCCAUUAAGGUCACCAUCAGAUAUUUUGACAACCUUUCUGCUGACCCCACGAUUCUGCCAUUAAGGACAUGAUCGGAUAAGUUAUUUGAAAGUGAAGGGAAAGCUAAAUCUCACCCGAGAGAAAUAGAAUCCUUUCUUACCUAAAUUUUUCUUCACCCUCAUCUCCCUUUCUUCUCCAACUCCGGUGAGAUUCCAGCAAGGUUAGGGGUUCGAGGGUUGUCGGGGUGGGGCUGCUCACCGCCGGCCUUUAGAGGGAGGGCCGGCGGUGGCAGGCUAGCCCGGCGGAGGUGGUGGGCGUGGGGGCGCCGCCGGCCGGGUAGCGGAGGAUGGCAGUUGGACGGUGCUGGAGCGGGGGUGUCGAUGGUGACGGUGGCGGCGGGAGGGGCAGGAGGCGACCAGCGCGGGCGGGCUAGGGUCCGCCGGAGGGGGGAGGGUCUGGGCGGCAGGUGACGGAGGGGUGGAGGAGGAGGAAGGGAGGGGGGAGGGGCGAAGAAGAGGGUGAGGGGAGGAGAUAAGGGAGAGAGAGAAAAGGACCGGUCGGCACGGAGCUCUGGCGAACCUAGCCCACCUGCACCGGAGGGGUGGGGGAGGGCCUGGGCGGUGGAGGGUGGGGAGGAAGAAGAAGAGGGUGGGAGGGGAGGAAGAAGAGGGUGGGGAAGGAGAUAAGGGAGGAGGAGGGAUUUAAGCCGUCAAUUUUAAAUCCAAUAGCUCAACAACUCGUGUAAGAAGAGUCUCUACCUCACGUGGGUAAGCUAUAAACACUCUGAGUAAAAGGGCCCGCGUUUAAGCUACAUCCUGAAACUUCAAGCAUCCUCCUCCCACCAGUGCACAAGCCGCAAGUGAUUCGGUCCCGCACGCAAGCCGCAAACGUAGAGAAAAACAAAACAGCCAGGAGGGAUCCCGGCAAAUCUGAUGAUCACACGAUCCGCACCCCAACCAAAGUUCAACCAGGAAAUUCUGCCAGCUAGCCAGCAUCAUUCUUCCGAGCAUCAAUUCCAAGUUUCCAACGGCACAACAAACAAUUUCUUCAUGAAUUGUCGGAAACCACCCAAGGGCCGGGUGGUUUCCGACGCGCCACGGCGCAGCCACCGUCGCCAUCACGGGCGUCGCGGUUCCGCCGCACGACGACACCGGGGGCGUGGCAUGCGGCCACGCGCCCUCGCCGCCCCCGCCGUGUGGCGGCCACCUACCCCCACCACCGCCACCCCGCUUGCUUUCCGCUCCAGUCCUCCACUACAGGCGCUCUUCCAGUCUCCUCCACUCCUUUCCGGAGCUCCCCCCUUCCCCCAUGGUGCUCCCCAGCUGGCCACCAACGUCACGGUGAAACCUCCCGUCACCGAUCACUCGCCGAGGGGAAUAAGAAAUUCAUCGGAAAAAAGUGCUAGAACAGAAGAACAUGCGCGCAGAUCUGGAGAUCCGGAGCUCCAGAUCUGCACGAACAAGCACGGAUCAGGAGAGAUCAAAUACGCUAGAGUACUAAAUAACACAAUAACAAUACUAGUGAGCAGAUCUGUAGAAAGAAUGCGCUACAAAAGAAACGCGGCAAUUAUACAAUGGCAACCCACAUCACUGUCUCAUCAACUCUCAAUCCCUAUCUCCCCUCUCACACGCACGCACGCACGGACGCUAGAUCAGAUCUGACGAGCCCUAGACUAAAACCCCGAAUGGAAUGAGCAAACCCAAAACGAAGACGAACAAUAAAUAGCGGUAGGCGGCGCGACGUCGAGCGGAGGCGGCGGCGGCGGCGGCCAUGUCAUGUCACACCGGAUCGGCGGCCAUCUCAGAAGAAGGCCGCGGCGGCUGCCACGGCGGCGGCGGCCAGGGCGAAGGCGGGGGCGACGCUGGACGCGGCGCUAGGCGGGGUUGGGGAGGCCGGGGCCUCGGCCGGCGGCUGGGUGAUCGAGCCCGGCGCCGGCGCCGGCGGCGACUGCGGGUGCUCCGGGGCAGGGGCCGAGGCCUUGGGCGAAGGAGCGGGGGCGGUCUGGGUCGGGGAGGGCGCGGGGGCGGAGGACGUGGGAGGCGUCGCCGGGGCCUGCGCGGGAGGUGACGCCGGGGCCGGCGCCGGGGCCUUGGGAGGCGGCGGCGGCGGCGGUGGGGUCGCCGGGGGCUGCGCCCGGGGCGCCGGCGUCGGGGACGCGCCCGGGGCCUGCGCCGUCGCGACGGCGAAGAGGACGGCCAUGGCCACGGCCACGAUGUGGGUGCGCGCCAUGGGGAGGCGGGAGAAAGGUGACGGUUGCUGUGGCGGCGGCGAAGUGAUCUAGGGUUUGAGGUGGUGGGGUUUGGCUUUCGCAAGUGGGGGAGGCGGCCGCUUGGAAGUGUGCGAAGGGGAUAUAAAAAGGGUGGGAUACGCGGCAGGAAGAAAUAGUAUACUGCUGU